rnacentral:lncRNA from 1 species
GGAUGAUCCGGUUGCGCAAUUCUUUCGUCUCCCGAGCAAGAAUCCGCAACGGUCGCUCCUCGUAUCUCAGAUCCUCGCCAAUCUCUAGUGGAGUGAACUCAAUCACGUGAGAGGGAUUGAAAACAUAUCUCCUCAACGCCGAGACGUGGAACACAUCAUGAAUCCCAGCAAGUCGGGAUGGUAGAGCAAUCCUGUAGGCUACUGGUCUGACUCGUUCCAAUACCUCGAAAGGGCCAACAAACCGUGGACCAAGCUUUCCACAUAUUCCAAAUCGACGAAUCCCUCUGGACGGGGAGACUUUGAGAAAAACAUAAUCUCCAACCUGAAACUCUAAGUCUCGUCUCCUGGUAUCGGCGUAGCUCCUCUGGCGGCUCUGAGCUGUCAAAAGGUAUCGUCGAGUGACUCUCACCUUUUCCUCAGCCUCCAGCAAAGUCUCAAGCCCCAAUGUCCUCCUCUCACCUAUAUCGCUCCAAAACAAAGGGGAUCGACAUCUGCAUCUAUACAACGCCUCAAACGGAGCCAUCUGGAUGCUCGUUUGAUAGCUGUUGUUGUACGCAAACUCAACCAGUCUCAAAUGUCGAUACCACCCUCCUCCAAAAUCCAGGACACAUGCCCUCAGCAUGUCCUCUAGAGUCUGAAUGGUUCGCUCUGACUGACCAUCUGUCUGUGGGUGAAAAGCAGUGCUGAAAUGUAACUGAGUCCCCAAAGUUGUCUGUAAACUCCUCCAGAAAUGCGACACAAACCUCGGGUCUCAGUCUAAUACAAUCGAUACUGACACGCCGUGCAGCCUGACGAUCUCAUCCAGAUAUAGCUACGCGAGUCUCUCUCUGGACCAGGUGGUCUGAACCGGUAAGAAGUGAUCAGACUUGGUCAGUCUGUCUACUAUCACCCAAAUCGCAUCAAAGCCACCCUGCGCUCUAGCCAAUCCCACGACAAAGUCUAUCGUAAUCUGCUCCCACUUCCACUCGGGCACUGGCAGACUCUGAAGCUUGCCAGCAAGUACCUGAUGCUCGGCCUUCACCUAUUGGCAAGUCAAACAUUGAGCCACAUAUCUGCCAAUGUCUCUCUCUUCAUUUCAUUCCACCAAAACUGUGCCUUUAAAUCCUUAUACAUCUUGGUUCUCCCAGGAUAAACCGUAUAAGGAGAACAAUGAGCCUCACUCAAGAUGUCCUCUCGGAUCUCUGAAUCCACCGGCACACAUAGUCGGUCCCUGUACCGUAGUACUCCCGAACUGUCCAUAGAAAAACCCUCAGCCUGUCCCCUAUGUAGCUGCUCUCGAAUCCUCGACAAGUACGGAUCUCCACUCUGUUUCUCUCGGAUCCUAUCCAACAGAGUGGGCUGCAAGACCAGAGACAUCAGUCUCGCAGUAUACCCAGGGGACACUAUCUCAAGCCUCAGCUACUGGAACUCCUCGAGUAAUGGCCUCUGCUCAGUGAUCAUCAAACUCAAGCUCUGCACUGACUUCCUGCUCAAUGCAUCUGCCACUACAUUCGCCCUGCCGGAAUGAUACUGAAUACUAAUGUCAUAGUCCUUCAGUAACUCCAACCACCGGCGCUGCCUCAAGUUCAGCUCCCUCUGUGUGAACAGAUACUUGAGACUUUUAUGAUCCGUGAAAAUCUCGCAGUGCUCGCCGUACAAGUAAUGUCGCCACAGCUUCAAAGCAAAAACCACCGCGGCAAGCUCCAAGUCAUGCGUAGGGUAAUUCUUCUCAUAAUCCUUUAACUGCCGUGAAGCAUAAGCAAUCACCCUACCAUGCUGCAUCAGCACGCAACCAAAUUCACUGUGCGAUGCAUCAUUGUAGAUCACAAAUCCUUCCCCCAUCACAGGAAGGGCAAGGAUCGGAGCUGACGUCAACCUCUGUCUCAACUCAUCAAAGCUCCUCAUGCUCAGCAUCGCUCCGGGAGUAAAUCAGGAUAUCGUCGAUGAAGACUACCACAAACCUGUCCAUGAACGGCUUGAACACUCUAUUCAUCAAAUCCAUGAAUGCGGCAGGAGCAUUCGUCAAUCCAAAAGGCAUCACCAUAAACUCAUAAUGCCCGUACUGAGUCCGAAAAGCCGUCUUGGGAACAUUCUCGGCCCUCACCCUCAACUUGUGAUAACCUGACUGGAUAUCAAUCUUCGAGAAGACAUAAGAUCCCUGCAGCUGAUCAAAUAAAUCAUCAAUGCACGGCAAGGGAUACUUAUUCUUGAUGGUCACUUUAUUCAGCUCCCGGUAAUCCACGCACAGCCUAAGUGAGCCAUCCUUCUUCUUCACAAACAACACCGGCGCUCCCCAAGGCAAAACACUGGGUCUCACAAACCCUCUAUCCAUCAAAUCCUGAAGUUGUGCCUUUAGCUCUCUCAGCUCUGCCGGCGCCAUCCGAUAAGGUACCUUUGAGAUUGGUGCAGUUCCAGGAACUAUAUCAAUCACAAACUCAAUCUCCCUCUUUGGCGGCAACAUCGUCAACUCAGGAAAAAAACACAUCUGGAAACUCGCGAACUACUAGGAUAUCCUCGAGUUUCGGCGCCGCCGUAGGUACCUCCACAACUGUCGCUAAGAAAGUGAUACACCCACUACUCAGCCUCUGUCGAGCUCUCGUCGAAGAUAUCCAGGUGGCAAACAACGUGCUCCUGCAGCCUCAGAAAGUGAACUCCUCCUGGCCUGGCUCGCGGAACGUCACCGUCUUCGCUCUACAGUCUAUCGUAGCAUAGUACCGCGCCAGCCAAUCCAUACCGAGCACGAUGUCGAAGUCCUGCAGCUGCCCUAACACCGACAGGUCUGCGGGCAUAAACAACGAAUCUAACUGCACCGGACACGACCAACAACACUCUGCAACCUGUAAAAUAUGGUCGGAGAUAUGCACCUCUCGUGCCAAAGACAAAGACCCUAACUCUGGACCAUGCAACAGUGCAAAUGCUCGGCUCACAAAAGAAUGGGAGGCAUCAGUAUCAACUAAAGUACGAGUACAUAUGCCAAAAAUCAAAGUGAUACUUGCCACUACACGAUCGGCUGCUGAAGAGUCCUCCCGGCGGUAACUCGGUGCUGCUCCAAAAGUCUGCUGGUCAGCUGGCUGCGCUGAUGCAAUGGAUAGUGCUGGAAAUGUCGCUCUAGCACACGUUGACCUCACAUGUCCUGGCUGUCCACAAGUGUAGCAGUGGCCCUCUUUCUGCUCACAUUGUCGGGGCCAGUGUGGUCCUCCACAAAUCACGCACCGCAGCGUCCUCGGUGACGGUCCCUGCUGAAGCAAUCCCUUGGAAUGCUGACGCCUCGAUAAACCACGACCCUGAGAGCAAGAUCGAGAAAGCCUCAGCGGACGUCUGCUACUCGCCUGUCCUCUAUCAUCUGGAAAAGGGCGCUUCCUAUCUUGGCUCUGCCCCGGUACCAUAGUCCGCUCCUGAACGGGUGUAACUCUGUGUCCCACCAAGAGUGCCUGCUGCACAGAUGCUCCUGUCUCAACGCCUGACCACUGAGUGACAAUCUCAUAAAUCCUCUGCAAUAGUACACUCUGCUGCUUGAUCACCUCUGUCAGGACAGCCAACUGUGCACUCAGAUAAGGGGAUGCGCUAGCCUCCGGUCGCACACUGGCUCCACAACAGGGGGUGCACUCGCCUCCGGUCUGUCACCCUGCUCCUGCCGAGUACUCUGCUCCAUCUGCUCAUGUCUCUCACGGGAUCCCGCACGAUCCCGCGCCAACUGGGCACGCUCUCGUAACGACGGUCGACCUCGGCGACGAUACACAGCUGAAAGGAACAAAUCGGGGUCAGAUACAACAAAACACUCUCGACCCAAUCAAAAGAAAGUCUGGAAGGCGGUCCCUGUUUUCCUCCAAAAUUAUGUCGUCUGCAGCCAACAUAAUUUCUCAGGCCAAAACAGGAACUCCUUCAGUCACUCACUCCACUCUAGGAGCAGUUAGAACAAACAAUCAUUGACUUUCGCAAUUAAAUUACGCAUCUCGCGUCUUGCUUUCCUAAGGUUUGCCAAACUUAGGUUUCCUAGGUCCCAACGACCUAUAGCAAAGCUCUGAUACCAACUUAAUCUGUCACGCCCCGGAUGUCUCGUUCCCCGGGCACGCCGACAAAUCCGCCGUAUACAAAGAAAUUUUCUCUGUAUACGAAGCGACAGCUGUACCUGUAAAUCAAACACUACUACGAACAGUAGUAGAGAGCUGCUAGAGAAAACAGAAGCUAAACAAGCUGAGUUUCAUAUACAUAGUCCAAAUCCAAAAUACAGAGCUACUCGCACUGGCGAGUUAAGUCAACUAUGUACAUAAACUCGAAACAAAACAUCUACCUGCGGUAGGGGCACCUCUAGCUCAGCACGUCGAGUAGGGCUCUAACUCGCGACGCCCUUGCCUCGAUCCAGGUCCGCGGACGGUGCAGCAGCCGGAACCUGUGGCUCUGCAAAACAUAGGUAACAACUGGGCGUGAGAACUACUGUAAAAGCAAGUAGUCCUCAGUGGGUACCGCCCAAAAAGAUAUCGGUCCACCCACCAAGUCUACAAAAGGGAGCAAGAGUAGUCAGAAAAAUAGAAAAUAAACUCUACCGCUAUCGAUCACUACACUAUCAUGCUCUACACUAACCAACUGUAGGAAAUGUCAACUCUAACCCAAUCCAAUCGGGACUGUAAGCAUACCCGUCCCCGGGACUGUGAAUACACCCGUCCCUGCCCCGUUGCGACUAUCAAGCUCUAUCCACACUAACUGGUCAGUGGAGAGCAAGUCCAACUGGCAUGAGCGACACCAACGCGAAAGCACAAGCCUGACUCCGGAGUGGCACUCGUGGGCGCUACCCAACCGAGUAUGCAGCGUAUCGCUGUCGAGCUCAAUCAGGCUCUGAAAAGCCAAAGUCAAGUAACCAACUCAACUGGUCUAAUAACCAACAGGUAACGUGCCUUCAGCACAAUCUGACGCCAAAAAGGCGAUACGGGUCCACCAUCAACUCUGACGGCACCCAACAGUCCGAAAUAAUCUGAACGACCCUGUAAAAAAAAUUCACUCGGCACACCAGCACGAGCAAAAAUAUAUUCUAAACUACCUGAAGUACUCGUCUCGAAGAUACUGCGACAGUACAGUUUAAUAUCGGCUCCUAGAGCUAAAUCAGGCAGUUUAAUCAAGUGACAGGUCCAAAUCGCAGGUUUUCUCCUAAUUCAGUUUCCAAGUCCAACAUNUUUAGAAUCCGGGGCAAGUUGAGCCCCCGAUUCAUUGGACCGUUUGAGGUUUUGGAGCGUGUAGGCCCGGUAGCGUAUCGACUCGCUCUACCGCCGAACCUAUCGGGUGUACACAAUGUAUUCCAUGUAUCGGUCCUUUGGAAGUACAUCCACGACCCGGCUCAUGUGUUGGAUGUUACACCUAUGGAGCUACGGGAGGAUUUGAGCUUUGAGGAGCAACCCUUGAGGAUUUUGGCUCGCGAGGUAAAAAGAUUGCGGAACCGAGAAAUUCCCUACGUAAAGGUGCUUUGGAGCAACCAUGACGAGCGCGAGGCCACUUGGGAGUUAGAGAGCGCACUGCGGGAGCGCUAUCCCCAUAUUUUUCAGAUGGAGGCUUGAGGUACGUUGUUUGUUUGAGUUUCGCGAACGAAACUCCAUUUUAGGAGGGGUGAAUGUAACACACUGGACUUUUGCGAAUUGCGAGGUUCGAGUGAUUAGCUGUGCUCUGAGCUUUUCCAGAUUUUCUGGUAGGUCGUUGACUGUGUUCCGACCUGUGGCACGUGUCCCGAGAAGUGUGGUACAAAGCCUUGCACCAAAAUCCAAAAAUUUGGAUUUUGGUCAGCUCUCGGAUUGGCUGUCUGGCGGGCUUGUACCGGUACAAGGUUGGGCCUGUACCGGUACAGAGCCGCGAACUCGCAAACCCGAGCCUCGGGUUUGCAUUUUCGCAGGUCUUGUACCGGUACAAGGGUGGUCUUGUACCGGUACAAUGAUUGAUGGUUGUACCGGUACAGCCAUUGGGCCUGUACCGGUACAGUGCCGCUGGACCGCGCACCCGAGCCUCGGUUUUGGAUUUUCGUAGCUCUUGUACCGGUACAAGAUCUCGUGUACCGGUAUAAGGAGGCAGAAUUUGCACAGUUCGAACUGCAGGGGUGUUUUUGCGUUUGUGGGUCUCUUAUAUCAGCACCCACGUCUCUAGGGCCCUUCUUUGAGCUCUCCACUGCAGGGAAAAAGGUAGGGCACCUCUCCCCUUCAACCCUUUUGGAUUUGAUCCCAUUUUAGCUUGGAUUUUGAUGGUUUUUCCCUCUCUUUUGUCUCUUGGAGCCAUCUCCACCAUUUUUUUGAAGCUUGGAGCUUAGGUUUGGAGUUUGAUUGAGGGAUGAUACUUGAAGUUUGAGGACUUUGAGCUGGUUUUGGGGCUUCUAAGAGGUAAGAGACAAGAUCCUUCCCUCUAGAUUUGGUUUUUGAAGGUUUCAUUGAGAUGAAACCCUAGAUUGGUGUUUUAGGGUUCAUUUUGGGCAUUUUCGUUUUAGGGCUUUUGAAGCUCAAUUGGUUGGAUUAGAACCUUCUUAGGGCUUGGAUUGGAAGGGUUCUAGCUCUCUUUUGGAGCUUAGGAGAAGAUCUCUACUCUUGAGGUGAGUUUAGGCCUUUUGCUUUUAGGUUAAUGAUCGGGCUUAUUGCUCUUCGUAUCGAUUGGAUGACACCAUUUUUGAUGUUCCUAGGGUGCUAGAAAGCUUGUGGAAAUCUCCGUUCGGCGAAACAAAAGUUUCGAUUUUGGUGGGUUUGACCUAGCCUUCGAUAUGAGAAAAUCUCAUAAUUGGUGAUAAGUGCUUUAUUUACUAAUAAUUCGUGCAUUUUCACGUUAAAUGUAUUUAUUAUGAUUUUUAGAAUGCUUAAAAUGCAUAUGUUAUAUAUGAUGAUAUUUUGGACCUCUAUGUAGUAGAGAGUUGCUCGGGAGAUCUUUGGUUGCAUUUAGCAUUCUAUAUGAGAUUUGAUUUCAUGUUUCUAUAGUGUAAAUGAUCUAUGAUUCAUGCGUUCAAACAUAAGUUUAAUUGAGACAUGAAAGAUGACAAUUGCUAUAUAUGUAGGCAUCGAACUUGAUAUCAUGUGAAUUGGAGAGCUAAUGUCAUCAAGCGGCAUUGAGCUCAGGACUUGUGUGAACCUAGUGGAUAGGGCCAUUGAGGGAUUUGGAAAACAUGUUGAACAUCAAAUUGCCUAAGUGUCAUCAAGGGGCACUAGGCGUAGCAAAUGUUGAAACUUCACANUUUUUUUUUGAGAGAGAGAUAGGUAGCACGCUACCCGCUUCGUUUAUUUCAUUUAGAAAUAAACUUAGCAAGAAAUGUGAAUCAACUAGAAUUCGAACUUGGGUCUCGGGUACCAACCACCAAGCCCUUUGCCACUUGCUCUAGGGACGGUCGGUCACAAUGACUAUUAUUAACACGAGAUAGUACAUGGUUUCAAAAUUGAAAUGCCAUCACAAGGUGCAUGUUUGGUUUUUCAUACACAAUUAUAUGAAAUCGCGCAAAAGCCACUCGGAAACCUGAAAAGAGAAGACAGUGAGCUGCACAAUUGAAAGAAAUAAACUUGCAGAGGGCAGACAGUUUAAGAGAUGUUCGGAACCAACCAUAUCUGACUCGAGAUCCUUCCUUCUUGGAACUGCUUUUUGAAUCCCCAAAAGGGCAAUACAAAGCCGUCGUCAUUCACUAUAUUCCCCAAGUUGGGAUGAAAUGCUUGAUAGAUCAGCAAGCUUGGGGCAACAGCUGAUCGUCACAAAUCUUCGGCGUGUUAGGGCAGUCAAUCCUACAACGGAUGUCAAUUCCUGACAAUUAAAUAUCUCCAGUUCUGCAAGCAUGGUUAGGCGGCAAAAGACCGUCGCAGGGGGGAGUGAUACAAUGCCGUUACAGUCAUGUAUGCGCAAGGCGGAAAGAGAGGUGAGGUUUUGCAAACAUACGGACAGUGAAUUGUCGGUAAUGCCGCAGGAAUCGAGCAAUAAUGACUCGAGCGCAGAGGGUAAAAUAACCUGACCGUUUUCUCCGUCGGUGUUAGCGGACUCGAGAAGCCGAUGACAAUGAAAAAAUUUCAGCACUUUCAAGGAGGAGAGAUUUGAUAACCCGCCAAGCGACGUCAGGGCCGAGCAGGACACAAAUGUUAACUGCUUCAGCGCUGUCAGGUGGCGCAUCACUUGUUUUGACGGAAGAGUCGUAAUUUGGCAGUCCGCUAUCUCUAAUGUGGAAAGAGAGGUGAGGUUCUGGAGACAACUCGACAAUGAUGCAUCGGUAAGGCCGCAACGUAUAAUCUUGAGAGACGCUAACGAUGCCGGCAGAAAACCUCUGUCGUAAUUGUCCUCUCCGAUGAUCAUAGAUGACAGCAGCUUUGGACAAUCCAUCAAUUCGAGCUUUUCGAGGGAAGUAAGCGCAUGUAUCCCUCCCAGCGACGCCAAAUUUUCGCAGCGGUUAAUGUCCAGUUCUUUUAGUGCGGUUAGAUGAUGCAAAACUGAUGCCGAAGGCAGGGAUACAAGUCGAUGGCAACAACUUAUCUGUAGACUGGAGAGGCGAAUCAAGGUUUGCAGGCACGACGAGAAUGCCUCGUCCGUUAGCUUCGGGCAGUUCUUAAAUUGAACAUCACAUGGAGAAGGAAACGCGCGAUAUUUCUCGAGAGACGCUAGCGAUGCCGGCAGAAAACCUCUGUCAUAAUUGUCCUCUCCGAUGAUCACAGAUGCCAGCAGCUCUGGACAAUCCAUCAAUUUGAGCUUUUCGAGGGAAGUAAGCGCAUGUAUCCCUCCCAGCGACGCCAAAUUUUCGCAGCAGUUAAUGUCCAGUUCUUUUAGUGUGGUUAGAUGAUGCAAAACUGAUGCCGAAGGCAGGGAUAUAAGUCGAUGGCAACAACUUAUCUCUAGACUGGAGAGGCGAAUCAAGGUUUGCAGGCACGACGAGAAUGCCUCGUCCGUUAGCUUCGGGCAGUUCUUAAAUUGAACAUCACAUAGAGAAGGAAACGCGCGAUAUUCUUCAGGUUGGGACCACUCGACCAACUCCGGCAUGCGGUCAAAUCUUAAGUGUUCCAGUAAUGGGAAUCCUUUAAGGCUGCCGUUGGCGUAGAACUCGAAGCUGAUUUUCUUUACCGCAUACAUCCGACUAAUUUCCAAAAAUUUGAGGUGCGGUAGCCGUCCGAGAGGGGGGAGAGAUAUCCAAGAUCUGCAGCAACUCAGAGUCAAGGAUUGCAGAUGCGACAACCAAUUUGUCUCUAGCCAUGUCGGAGACCUGAUACCUGAGCAACUUAUGAUUUUUAGAUCUUCGAGAUUCGGAUGCGGCUGGAGGCCCUCGAGAAUUUGAUCAUCGUUACUUCUCGUCUCCUCGGAGUAGUGCCAUUCUAACCUCAAUUUCUUGAUGUACUCCUUUCGGUUCAAUUUGGCUUCAGCGGCCUCUUGCAUGCUAUGCACAUUCUCAAGAUUCAUGAUCCUAAGUGAUCCCCGAAGUUCAUUCAUGUUCUGCAGCUCGACUAUCUUACGGCCCUUCUUCUUUGAGGUACGGAAUACAGCUAGACGUUGCAAACUGGUCAGUUUCCCAAUUCUAGCUAUCUGCGAUGUGAAUGCCCCGGGAACAUGUAAAACCCUCAAGUUGAUUAGCUUGUCCAUACCUUCAGGAAACAACAUACCUUUAGGAUACAAAGUGGGCAGCCUUGAUCGCGAAACAUCCAACACUUGUAGAUAGUAAAGCCGAUAGAUUGAUGAAGGUGCUGUCUUAGGAGUCUCAGCAAAUGCUAAAUAUCGUAGAUGAAUCAACUUGCCCGCAGCUUUAGGUAACUGUUCCAUCUUACAUUCGGUUAGAUCCAGCACUCUUAUGCUUCUCAGCUGUUUGAAAACAUCACUACCGAUAGAAUGAUUGUAGGAAAAGAAUACAAGCGUGCGCAAGUUCUUCAAGUCGCAUAUGCUCGUAAGCUGCAGCAGAGCGUCGGUGUUGAUCGACAAGUGGCGUACGGUUGACGGGAUUUCUCGCACAUUAUCACUUUCGAUUCUAAAGCACUCCUCCUUCGAAACAGAUUGAGCCAAUUCAUGUAUCAUGUCAUGCAUGACAUAAUAAUUGCCAUUGUGAUCCUUGAGCUUCUGAAAAAAAGAUCUCGACAAUAAGUCGUCAAAGUAGAUCCUCCCAAUGUCUUCCAUCCUCAUACUUCUCCCUUCUUGAGGCCGAAGCAAGCCUUGCGCCAUCCACAUGUAAACUAGCUUGUCAGGUUCGAUCCUCCAAUCUUCAGGAAAGAUACUGCUGUACGCAAAGCAUGGCUGCAGGUGGGGUGGCAGAUUCUGGUAGCUUAAAUUGAGAACAGGCAUGAUGCCAUUCCAAACAUUGCUUCUCAAAACAUUCUUCCACUUCUCAACAUUCAUGUCCGCAUUCAGCAUCCCCCCCACCACCUUCGCCCCGAGAGGAGAUCCCUUUAGCCUCUUCGCUAUUUCCCAGCCUACUUCUUGGAGCUCCGGAUAGUCGUCGGCGCACGCGGAGCGAAAGGCGUGCCGCUUAAAGAGCAACCAGUAAUCAUCUCCUUCUAGCCCCUUCAGAUGGAUCGAAUCUCCUGCGUCGAGCAUUCUCGACACUAUUUCCAAACGCGUGGUCACAAUGAUCUUGCUCCCCGUACCCCCGAAUCUUAGCGGCGCAAGCAGUUUCAUCCAUCGGUCUCUAUUCUCCCACUCCUCGAUCCCCUCGUCAUUCCAAACAUCAUCUAAGACUAGAAGGAACCUCUUCGUUUCUACACUCUUCUGGAGCUGUUCUUGAAGCUUGUUGAGAUUAAAGCUCGCCGAGUCAUUGCCAAGAUCGUCGCACGCCAACGAGAGGAUCUCCCUGGUAAGUCUGAGCUCAUUGAAAUUCGCCGAGACGCAAACCCACAUACGCAGCUCGAAACGGUCCGCCACUUUUGUUUCGUUGUAGAUCGACUGCGCAAGCGUAGUCUUACCGACCCCUCCGUCUCCGACCACCGAGAGAAGAAUUUCAGACUGAUCGCCAGAUUCAAGAAGCCAUUGCAGUAUCCUCCCGCGCUCCUCUUUUCGGCCGAAAAAUUGGUUUUCAAGAGGGAACGCGCUAGUAGGACGCUGCUGCGGCGCACUUGCAACACCGCUGCUACUACCUGUCGUAACUGUCGCACCAACAAUAUCGAGGAACGCCUGCGCGCAGUCCUUAACUUUAUCCAGUUUACUCAACACUUUCUUCAGCUUAUUUCUGAAACUUAUGCCGACAGGCGAGAAGAAGGCAGAAGGGAGGCUCACCUUGUAUCCAGAAUUCACUUCGGAUUGAAGGAGAAGGUAGCCGAACUCGUCGAGCAAGUCCUCAGCCUCGUAAACGGCGUCCUUCAUCUGGCGGAGCAGCGCGAGGUGGUCUUUGUUAUGGGUGGCGGGCAGCGACUCGGCCGUGGAGACGACGGCGAGGAUUUGAGUAAGGACGGUCUCCAGCAUGUAAAGCUCCCCCUCCACUGCCGAUCGCCAAGGCAAGCGGCUUUCUAUGUAGGAUCUCGCCGUGUCAAUCAUUGCUUUGAUGAUCGGAGAUGCAACCCAUCCUACUACGACGCCUAACUCCGCCAUAUAGUCGACAAGUAAAAUAUAUGUAUUGGAGAGUGCUAGUAACGGUCGACGAGAAAGAAGUAGAUCUAGGAGGAAGAUGAGCCAAGUAAAGGGAUGAAAUAAUUUUAUAUGCAAAGAAUAGAACAAAGAAAUGAAGAUUCUUUAACUAUGGAAAAAAUCCCCUCCCAAAUACAUUGGUUGAUCAUCAUUUCAUUAAAUAUAAAUGACAGAAAGAGGGACCAGGUCACUGAGCCACUUUUCUUGACCUUUUGCCAAGAUAAAGUCCACAAAAGUAGCAUCACACACUUCCAAUGUUUAGGUGGACUGUCUGCUCUAGAUAACAGUCGGCAAAAUUAAUUACUUUGUUCAGAUUCUAUCUUCUAUAAUUAAUUACUUUGUUCAGAUUCCAUCCAGACUGAAGUCUAUUAUGAACUUCUGGAAAAUAUGAAGUUAUACGCGACAAGACAUUUAUAGCUGAAAAUAAUUUCACCCCUCCCCACUUUCGGCAAAACAUAGAUGCUCACAACGAAACUAACAAAGCAAAAUGAGACGAUCAACAUUUACGCUGAAGAGUUUAAACAUCAUUUAUUUUAAAGCAACUCUCAAAGCAUGUUUGGUUCAUAAUUGAAAUAGAAAUGAUAAAUGAAAUUAAAUUUGAAAAAUAAAAUGAUGAAUUAUUUAAAAAUAUUUUAUUUAUUAUUAAAAUAAAAAUCGAAAUGAAUAUCUAAAAUUUUGAGUAUGUUUUAGUUAAGAAAAAGGAGAGAAACGAGAGCGAGAAAGGAGAUAUGCCUUUAUAAGAGAAGAUUUUAAAUGAUUUACUUUGAAUCGACUAAUCUAGAAUUUAAAGUCGGAUUGGACCAUAAACAUCAUUCUCACUCUAGAGUGAAAUAAAAAUUGAAAUCUUAUUUCUGUAAAACAAACAACAACUAUUCAAAUCAAUGAAUCUCAUUACGAUUCCAGUCUAAAUACGUGGACCAAACAAGCUUUCAGUUUCUGCCCAAGAGGUUUUAAGAUUGCAGCUCAGCUCCAUCAAAAACCAAUGCCAGAACCCGAAACCACACCAAAUUUAAAAUAUAAAAACAAAAAUAAAAAAGAAUAAAAAGGAAAAAGGAAAUCCACUGCUAAAAAUGGAGCCAUACAAUAACACCACUCGGAAAGUAAACAACUUGCACAGCAAAAACUCCGAAUAACUUGAAUAGAACAACCAGAAACUGCUUCAAAGAACAGCAGAGAAGAUAAAUACGCAGCUCAACCAAUGAAUCAUCUUAAGAAAAUUUGCAACAAAGAUUCCAAGAUCGAAAGACAAAUCAUCACAUCACAGCCUUAGCAUACCAUCAGAUACUGACAUCAGAAAUGCUAGGCAUAGUUCGAUAUUGAAACUUGAUUCACAUCAUUUUCACACCAAAAAUAUCAAUUACAGAUGAAGAAAACCAUGAAACAUGUCAAAUGCAACCGGAAAAGCACGAAAAAAAAAAAGAAGAAAAAAAGUAUGCAGUUUAAUAAAACAUUGAAUCGAAUAUACAACAUAACCUGACAAUAUACUUGAAACACCAUCACAUCCUCGUGGAGAGGCACCUGCACAUGUUCUACUUGCUAUAUUUUCAUUAAAUCCGACAUCAUCACAACUUUCUCACUAAGGCAUAUGUUUUGGCUGGAACUUCGAAAAACAGCUCAAAGGAAAAAGAAAGGGAAAAAAAAAAAAAAAAAAAACACCACCUUCGAAUUCGAAUUUCACGACUUUUCCUCCAAAACAUAUAUAAUUCAAGUUGCAUGUAAAUUGUGGUUAAUUAUCAAGCAACAAAACACAACUCGAAUGAAAGACAUGGAUUCUUUUGCCUUUUCAAUCUUUUCCAAGCGACGUGGCUCACGUUUGCCGCAAAAUCUUUACUAAUUACCCAAAACCCUCUCAUUUUAACCCCACUUACACUUUCUCGCCACAUACUUGGCUCAGCUCACUCUUGUAGACGAUCUCGAUAUUAUAUGCUAUCCAACGUUCCUUCUGCCCUGAACAAAAGCUGGUUCCAUUAAGAGCAGAUGCCUUCAUUCUUAAUCCUAUCUUUCCACGGUGCAGCCAUUCAUCCUUCUUAAUACUCAUAUGAGCAUGCUGCUUCUAAACAACAACACCAACAACAGUGACAUGAAUAACCAUCUAUAAUUGGGCGGAAUAAAUAAGAAACAUCGAUCUACAAACAUUCUUGCAAUCCAACUUAAUCCAUCUAACAUUAACCUGUUCAGCACAAUCGUCACUCUCGCAAUCAUUUUUCAUAAUCAAGCAAUGAUACUAAAAAUGCUCCAUCUCACCAAUCUUUCUUAAGCCCCAUAACUCCUAAUUGUUAUUCUAUAAUAUUAUUGAGAAGUCUUAUAGCAUUCCACUUUGUCGUUACAAUUGAUUAAACUUCCUGUGAUUUAGAGUACAACGGUUGUUUCACAUGGUAUCAGAGCAGGAGGUCCUGAGUUCGAGUCACGUCUGGGCUCGAGACUUUUUAAUUGGCCUAUGACGUGGGCUUGAAUUAAAUGGAAGGAAAUUAAUAUGCUAGGAGCCUGGCGUGACUCGAACUCAGGACCUCCAGCUCUGAUACCAUGUGAAACAACCGUUGUACUCUAAAAGCUUAAGCUUUCAGAGUACAACGGGUGUUUCACACUAACUGAUUCACCAUCAUCUCUCCUUACAACAAUCCCAGAUCUUAGAGUCCCUUUGAUAGUUCAGUGAUAAUCUGGGUGCAUAUUCUAAAUCCAUUGUAAGUUCAUGAUUCAAUUCAUCAAGUUCAAUUGUUUUUUCUCAGCAAGUAACGCAAUCUUCCCAAAUCCCAAAUGAAACCCUAAUUUUCAUGAAACCGAACGCGCAAAAAUAACUAGAAAAAAAGCUAUGCAUUACGGAAAACUUUUUCUUCGAGAAUUUUUUUUUUCAUGAUUUUCCAAGUCGCGGUAUCGAGAUAGUACAGGGACUAUCUCAUACAUUUCACCCUUAAAUUUCUAACCACAAAUAAAAAACAAAAAAGAAAAAAAUAAAAAACUUAAAAAAACCCUAAUUUUGUUGCUAAUUAACCACCCUAAAUAAAUAAAUUAAUUAAUAAUAACCUAAUUAAUUAGCUAACUAUUUUUAGCAAACACAUACACACAUGCAGCCACUAUAAAACCUGGCCUCCACCCCUCUCCUUUUCCCCUCAAGCCUGCAGUUAGAUUGAGGUCCAGUCUUCCCUCACCAAUAAAAUUCCGAAACCGCAAUAAAGUGCAGGCUUCCGCGGUCUCAGUCCGGUCGACGCAUAUAAAUAUAUUUUUUUAUAUCGCGAUGGAGAUGAAGAAGAUCGCCUGCGCCGCUCUCGUCGCCGCCGCAUCCGCCACCGCCGCUCUCGCCAACGACGCGGCGGCAGCUCCCGCGCCUGGACCCGCCAGCGGAGCCCUCGCGGCCGCCCCCGCCGUCGGCACCGUCGUCGGCGCCGCCCUCCUCUCCUUCCUUGCUUACUGCUUGCACUGAAAUUCCCCUCGAUCUCUCCUGAGCCCUGAUCACCAUGAGAGAGAAAUUAAUGUAUGGAGGAGAGAGAGAGAGAGAGGUUAUGAUGAGAGUUUAAUUAGCUUAUUAUGAAGUAAUGAUGCAUGUACUUAAAAUGAUUGGAUAAUUAAUGAUUGAUUAAUUUAUUAAUUAAUUUAUCUCUAUUUGGUUUUUUUUUUUUUUUCUUGAUCAUUUGGUUCUAGAAAGAAUUAGCGUUUUUGGGAAGUUUUUCUCUAAAUUUCAUGAAAAAAUAGAGUUUACUUUUUCCAAAUCUUUUUUUAAAGAAAAACGAAAAAAAACUAGUUUUUCAUAAAAUCUGAAAAAAAAAUCUAAUUUUUUUUUAAAAAAAUAAUGGUCGGAAAACUGGAAAAAAAAUUUUCCGUAGAACUUUUUUUUUCUUGAAAACUUAUUUCCAUAUUUUCCUGAGAACCAGAGAAUCUCUUAAUUAUUUCUUGAGUAAAUUACAAUUUUGGUCCUCAAACUAUGAGAUACUCGACACUUUAGUUCUUAAAUUUUAAUUUGUACCCUUUUGGGUCGAACUUUUUAAAUUAUUGUAAUUAAGUCUCAUUGCCAAUUUAAUUUACUAUAUGCGGACAUGCCGCUAACAUAAAAAUGAUAUGACGGUGUUAUAAUGGAUGAUACAGUAAUGAUUAAGACGCCAUAAUAGGACAUCAUCAAUAUGUUAAUAUUUAGUCAUCUGAAUUGGUUUGUUGGAAUUGAUUAUAAAAUUUGGAAAGUACGAGCCCAAGAGUUGCUAAAAAUUAAAGUUUGAGGAGUUAAGGGUCAUGCACCUCAUAGUUUAAGGACCUAAAUUGUGAUUUACCCUUAUUUCUUCUUUCUCUGAAUUAGUCCAUUCGUUGUGUUUAUUUUAAAAUACAAAUUUCAAAACCCAAAAUAGGACCUAAUCUCACAUCCAAAUCCCUUAAAUUGUGACUGGACAUAUUAAUUCCAUUUGAUCGUAGGUAGGAAUGCAAAUGAAUCUGGAUUGGUGGAGCUCCCGCACUGAUUCACUCCGAAUGGGGAGGUUCGUCCUAAUCUGCCAAGUAAAAUAGAGCGGAGGGCAUGAGACUCUCUUCUUUCUUUAAUCCGAUCCGAUCCGGCAAAAAAUAAUCAAAACCAUGCUUCUAUCGCAAUCCGCUUCCCGCAUCCGUCCCAAUCCGCUCCGAAUAGAGUAGUAUAGUAAGCGGAUGUCAAAAAUAUGAUUAAAAUUAACCCGCUCUGAUUCCACCUAGACCCGACAAGAAAUGAAGUGCAUUGGUUUCUCUCGGCUAUGGUUUAAGUGUCAAUAGGGGCGUAAAAUGGGCCAACUAUUCUAAAUUUUUUUAAAAAAUUUUAAAUUAAAUCUUCUAUUAUUUUACAAACAUUUUUAUAAAUGUUUAAAAAGUAGUAUUUUGACCUUUUACUAUUUUAAGCUUUUAUGAUUUUUUUUAAAAAAAAUAAAAGGGCUGGCCCGGCCCGACACAACCUAUAUCAUCCGGGCCAGGGUCAGUGCGAGGCCGCAAAUCCUUGAAAUCCGUGCCGGUCCACCCCUGGGCCCGUUUCAGCUCGGGGGAAUGUGGGCCAUGCCCGCCGACGUAGCCUGCAUCAUACCCCUCCAAAUCAUGUUAAAUUAUAAAAAUAGAGUAGAGCUACUGUGCGAUCGAAAGUAUAGAGAAUCAAGUACUUUUUUUAUUUUUUAGCCCUUAGAUCAACUUCUGUGAUUAUUUCUAAUCUUUGGAUUAAUAUUAUUAUCCUAUGGGGACCACUCAACCCUAGAGGGGACCGCAAUCAUCCCAACCGUACAAUUCUUGAUCGAAAGGCAAAAAUGUUGGAAGCGCCAGGUCCUCUAUACUUCCGAUAGUAUAGUAGCUUUACACAUAAAAAUAUAAAAACGCCAUUAUCUACUAGCUUAAGGCUUCGUUUGGAAUUGCAGAAAAAUUGUGUUACGUGCGGUAAGAAAAUAUGAUAAAAAAAAUAUAUUGUUUAUUUCCGUAAGUAAUAUUGUGUUCCGCAUAUCGCGAUGAGCCGGUUACGAUAUAUUUUUUGCGAUCCCACCGGAGAACGCAGAAAUAUAUCCCUAUAUAUUUUUACCCCAACUCUAUUUUAUCUAAUAGCGUCAGAUGGAUCUCAAUACCAAACUAAACCUAAUUUUUUUAAAAAAAUACGAUUGUUUCGUAUAAUUUAAUAUAAUAUCAGAGCAUGAGAUACUAAGUUUAUAAUCAAGCUAGACUCCCAGCAUAAUCGACUUCCUUCUAUUUAAUUCAAGUCUAUAUCGUAUGCCUGUCAAAAAGUUUCAAGCCAGACUCGGAGAGUAGGUCUAAAUAUUAAAAUAUAAGAACACCAUUCUCUACAAACUUACACUUUUAGAGAACAUAGUUUUUUUCGUGUAAUUUAAUAAAUCACACCUUUAACGCGUGAAUGUGGUGAAUAUACUCGAAACUUCUAAGAACAAAAGAGAAAACUAAAUUAAUUUCGAAUGAUAAAUCUAUUCAGUUUUGGCACACUCAAUACUUUUUCACUUCCUGCUGUAUAAAUUGCUUAUUUAAUAGGUUGUUUGGAUAUCUAACAUAAUGAAUAAUACAUAAAAAAAAUUAGUCUAAUCACUAUGAGUGUGCUAAAAGUACACAAUGACUAUUAUUACCAUGAGAUAGUACAUGGUUUCAAAAUUGAAAUGCCAUCACAAGGUGCAUGUUUGGUUUCUUAGACACAAUUAUAUGAAAUCGUGCAAAAGCCACUCAGAAACCUGAAAAGAGAAGACAGUGAGCUGCACAAUUGAAAGAAAUAAACUUGCAGAGGGCAGACGGUUGAAGAGAUGUUCGGAACCAUAUCCAACUCGAUAUCCUUCCUUCUUGGAUCUGCUUUUUGAAUCCUCAAAAGGGCAAUACGAAGCCGUCGUCAUUCAAUAUAUGCCCCAACUUGGGAUGAAAUGCUUGAUAGAUCAGCAAGCUUGGGGCAACUUAGGAUCCUCACAAAUCUUCGGCGUGUUAGGGCAGUCAAUCCUACAGCAGAUGUCAAUUCCUGACAAUCAAAUAUGUCCAGUUUUGCAAGCAUGGUUAGGCGGCGAAAGACCGUCGCAGGGGGGAGUGAUACAAUGCUGUUACAGUGAUAUAUGCGCAAGGCAGAAAGACAGGUGAGGUUUUGCAAACAUACAGACAGUGAAUUGUUGUUAACGCCGCAGGAAUCGAGCUCUAAUGACUCGAGCACAGAGGGUAAAAUAACCUGACCAUUUUCUUCGUCAUUGUUAGUGGACUCGAGAAGCCGAGGACAGUGAGCAACUGCCAGCUCUUGCAAGGAGGAGAGAUUUGAUAACCCGCCAAGCGACGUCAGGGCCUGGCAGGACUGCAUUCUUAACUGCUUCAGCGCUGUCAGGUGGCGCAUCACUUGUUUCGACGGAAGAGUCGUAAUUUGGCGGCACUCUUUUAUCUCUAAUGUGGAAAGAGAGGCGAGGUUCUGGAGACAAUUUGACAAUGAUGCAUCGGUAAGGCCGCAACGCACAAUUCUGAGAGACGCUAGCGAUGCCGGCAGAAAACCUCUGUCGUAAUUGUCCUCUCCGAUGAUCAUAGAUGCCAGCAGCUUUGGGCAAUCCAUCAAUUCGAGCUCUUUCAGGGAAGUAAGCGCAUGUAGCCCGCCUAGCGACGCCAAAUUUUCGCACCACUUAAUGUACAGUUCUUUCAGUGUAGUUAGAUGAUGCAAAACUGAUGCCGAAGGCAGGGAUAUAAGUCGAUGGCAACAACUUAUCUCCAGACUGGAGAGGCGAAUCAAGGUUUGCAUGCACGACGAGAAUGCCUCGUCCGUUAGCUUCGGGCAUUUCUCAAUUUGAACACCACAUAGAGAAGGAAACGCUCGAUAUUCUUUAGCUCGGGACCACUCGACCAACUCCGGCAUGCCUUCAAAUCUUAAGCGUUCCAGUAAUGGGAAUCCAUUAAGGCUGCCGUUCGCAUAGAACUCGAAGCUGAUUUUUUUCACCACACACAUCCACCUAAUUUCCAAAAAUUUGAGACUCUGCAGCCGUCCGAGAGGGGGGAGAGAUAUCCAAGAUCCGCAGCAACUCAGAGUCAAGGAUUGCAGAUGCGACAACCAAUUUGUCUCUAGCCAUGUCGGAGACCUGAUACCUGAGCAACUUAUGAUUUUUAGAUCUUCGAGAUUCGGAUGCGGCUGGAGGCCCUCGAGAAUUUGAUCAUCUUUACUUCUCGGCUCCUCAGAGUAGCACCAUUCUAACCUCAAUUUCUUGAUGUACUCCUUCCGGUUCAAUUUCGCUUCAGUGGCCUCUUGCAUGCUAUCCACAUUCUCAAGAUUCUUGAUCCUAAGUGAUCCCUGAAGUUCAUUCAUGUUCUGCAGCUCGACUAUCUUACGGCCCUUCUUCUUUGAAGGACGAAAUCCGGCUAAACCUUGCAAACUGGUCAGUUUCCCAAUUCUAGCUAUCUGCGACGCGAAUGCCUCGUGAACACUUAAAACCCUCAAGUUGAUUAGCUUGUCCAUACCUUCAGGAGACCAAGUGGGCAGCCACGAUCGCGAAACAUCCAACACUUGUAGAUUGUAAAGCUGAUAGAAUGACGAAGGCACUGUCUUAAGAGUCUCAGCAAAUGCUAAAUAUCGUAGAUGAAUCAACUCGCCCGCAGCUUUAGGUAACUGUUCCAUCUCACAUCCAGUUAGAUCCAGCACUCUUAUGCUUCUCAGCUGUUUGAAAACAUCACUACCGAUAGAAUGAUUGUAGGAAAAGAUUACAAGCGUGCGCAAGUUCUUCAAGUCGCAUAUGCUCGUAAGCUGCAGCAAAGCGUCGGUGUCGACCAACAAGUGGCGUACGGUCGAUGGGAUCCUUUGCACGUUAUCACUUUCGAUUCUAAAGCACUCCUCCUUCGAAACAGAUUGAGCCAAUUCAUGUAUCAUGUCAUGCAUGACAUAAUAAUUGCCAUUGUGAUCCUCGAGCUUCUGAAAAAAGGAUCUCGACGAUAAGUCGUCAAAGUAGAUCCUCCCAAUGUCUUCCAUCCUCAUACUACUCCCUUCUUGAGGCCGAAGCAAGUCUUGCGCCAUCCACAUGUAAACUAGCUUGUCAGGUUCAAUCCUCCAAUCUUCAGGAAAGAUACCGCAGUACGCGAAGCAUCGCUGCAGGUGGGGUGGCAGAUUCCAGUAGCUUAAUUUGAGAACAGGCAUGAUGCCAUUCCAAACAUUGCUUCUCAAAACAUUCUUCCACUUCUCAACAUUCAUGUCCGCAUUCAGCAUCCCCCCCACCACCUUCGCCCCGAGAGGAGAUCCCUUUAGCCUCUUCGCUAUUUGCCGGCCUACUACUUGGAGCUCCGGAUAGUCGUCAGCGCGCGCGGAGCGAAAGGCGUGCCGCUUAAAGAGCAACCAGUAAUCAUCUCCUUCUAGCCCCUUCAGAUGGAUCGAAUCUCCUGCGCCGAGCAUUCUCGACACUAGUUCCAAACGCGUGGUCACAAUGAUCUUGCUCCCUGUACCCCCGAAUCUUAGUGGCGCAAGAAGUUUCAUCCAUCGAUCUCUAUUCUUCCACUCCUCGAUCCCCUCGUCAUUCCAAACAUCAUCUAAGACUAGAAGGAACCUCUUCGAUGCUAGACUCUUCUUGAGUUGUUCUUGAAGCUUGUUGAGAUUAAAGCUCGCCGAGUCAUUGCCAAGAUCGUCGCACGCCGACGAGAGGAUCUCCCUGGUAAGUCUGAGCUCAUCGAAAUUCUCCGAGACACAAACCCACAUGCGCAGCUCGAAACGGUCCGCCACCUUUGUUUCAUUGUAGAUCGACUGCGCAAGCGUAGUCUUACCGACCCCUCCGUCUCCGACCACCGAGAGAAGAAUUUCAGACUGAUCACCAGAUUCAAGAAGCCAUUGCAGUAUCCUCCUGCACUCCUCUUUUCGGCCGAAAAUUUGGUUUUCAAGAAGGAACGAGCUAGUAGGAUGCUGCUGCACCGCACUUGCAACACCGCUGCUGCUGCUACUACUGCCUGCAACUGUCGUAACUGUCGCACCAACAAUAUCGAGGAACGUCUGGGCGCAGUCCUUAACUUUAUCUAGUUUACUCAGCACUUUCUUCAGCUUAUUUCUGAAACUUACGCCGACAGACGAGAAGCAGGCAGAAGGGAGGCUUACGCUGUAUCCAGAAUUCACUUCGGAUUGAAGGAGAAGGUAGUUGAACUCGUCGAGCAAGUCCUCGGCCUCGUAGACGGCGUCCUUCAUCUGGCGGAGCAGCGCGAGGUGGCUUUCGUUAUCGGUGGCGGGCAGCGACUCGGCCGUGGAGACGACGGCGAGGAUUUGAGCAAGGACGGCCGCCAGCACGUGAAGCUCCUCCUCCACCGCCGAUCGCCAAGGCAGUCGGCUCUCUGUGUAGGAUCUCGCCAUGUCAACCAUUGCUUUGAUGAUCGGAGAUGCAACCCAUCCUACGACUCCGACGCCGAACUCCGCCAUAUAGUCGACAAGUUAAAAAUAUGUAUUGGAGAGUGCUAGUAACUGUCGACGAGAAAGAAGAAGAUCUAGGAGGAAGAUGAGCCAAGUAAAGGGAUGAAAUAAUUAUAUAUGCAAAGAAUAGAACAAAGAAAUAAAGAUUCUUUAACUAUGAAAAAAAAUCCCCUCCCAAAUACAUUGGUUGAUCAUCAUUAAAUAUAAAUAAAUGACAGAAAGAGGGACCAGGUCAUUGAGCCACCUUUCUUGACCCUUUGCCAAGAUGAAAGUCCACAAAAGUAGCAGUCACACACUUCCAAUGUCUAGGUGGACUGUCUGCUCUAGAUAAUCAGAUUCUAUAUUCUAUAAUUGACUCCAACACCAUCCAGACUGAAGUCUAUUAUGGACUAUUGGAAAAUAUGAAGUUAUACGCGAAUUUAAUUUACAGCGAAUCAGACAACAAUAGCAAGACAUUUAUAGCUGAAAAUAACUUCACCCCUCCCCACUUUCAGCAAAACAUAGAUGCUCACAACGAAACUAACAAAGCGAAAUGAGACGAUCAAUAUUUACUCUGAAGAGUUUAAACAUCAUUUAUUCUAAAGCAACUCUCAAAGCAUGUUGGUUCAUGAUUGAAAUAGGAAUGAUAAAUGAAAUUGAAUUUGCAUUUGAAUGAAAAAUAAAAUGAUGAAUUAUCUAAAAAUAUUUUAUUUAUUAUUAAAACAAAAAGCAGAAUGAAUAUCUAAAAUUUUGAGUGUGUUUUAGUUAAGAAAAAGGAGAGAAACGAGAGCGAGAAAGGAGAUGCCCUUAUAAGAGAAGAUUUUAAAUGAUUUACUUUGAAUCGACUAAUCUAGAAUUUAAAGUCGGAUUGGACCAUAAACAUCAUUCUCACUCUAGAGUGAAAUAAAAAUUGAAAUCUUAUUUCUGUAAAACAAACAACAACUAUUCAAAUCAAUGAAUCUCAUUACGAUUCCAGUCUAAAUACGUGGACCAAACAAGCUUUCAGUUUCUGCCCAAGAGGUUUUAAGAUUGCAGCUCAGCUCCAUCAAAACCAAUGCCAGAACCCGAAACCACACCAAAUUUAAAAUAUAAAAACAAAAAUAAAAAAGAAUAAAAAGGAAAAAGGAAAUCCACUGCUAAAAAUGGAGCCAUACAAUAACACCACUCGGAAAGUAAACAACUUGCACAGCAAAAACUCCGAAUAACUUGAAUAGAACAACCAGAAACUGCUUCAAAGAACAGCAGAGAAGAUAAAUACGCAGCUCAACCGAUGAAUCAUCUUAAGAAAAUUUGCAACAAAGAUUCCAAGAUCGAAAGACAAAUCAUCACAUCACAGCCUUAGCAUACCAUCAGAUACUGACAUCAGAAAUGCUAGGCAUAGUUCGAUAUUGAAACUUGAUUCACAUCAUUUUCACACCAAAAAUAUCAAUUACAGAUGAAGAAAACCAUGAAACAUGUCAAAUGCAACUGGAAAAGCACGAAAAAAAAAAAGAAGAAAAAAAGUAUGCAGUUUAAUAAAACAUUGAAUCAAAUAUACAACAUAACCUGACAAUAUACUUGAAACACCACAUCCACGCGGAGAGGCACCAGCACAUGUUCUACUUGUUAUAUUUUCAUUAAAUCCGACAUCAUCACAACUUUUUCACUGAGGCAUAUGUUUUGGCUGGAGCUUCGAAAAACAGCUCAAAGGAAAAAGAAAGGAAAAAAAAAAAAAAAACACCUUUGAAUACGAAUUUUACGACUUUUCCUACAAAACAUAUAUAAUUCAAGUUCCGUGUAAAUUGUGGUUAAUUAUCAGGCAACAAAACACAACUCGAAUGAAAGACAUGGAUUCUUUUGCCUCUUCAAUCUUUUCCAAGUGACGUGGCUCACGUUUGCCGCAAAAUCUUUACUAAUUACCCAAAACCCUCUCAUUUUAGCCCCACUUACACUUUCUCGCCACAUACUUGGCUCAGCUCACUCUUGUAGACGAUCUCGAUAUUAUAUGCUAUCCAACGUUCCUUCUGCCCUGAACAAAAGCUGGUUCCAUUAAGAGCAGAUGCCUUCAUUCUUAAUCCUAUCUUUCCACGGUGCAGCCAUUCAUCCUUCUUAAUACUCAUAUCAGCAUGCUGCUUCUAAACAACAACACCAACAACAGUGACAUGAAUAACCAUCUAUAAUUGGGCGGAAUAAAUAAGAAACAUCCAUCUACAAACAUUCUUGCANNNNNNNNNNNNNNNNNNNNNNNNNNNNNNNNNNNNNNNNNNNNNNNNNNNNNNNNNNNNNNNNNNNNNNNNNNNNNNNNNNNNNNNNNNNNNNNNNNNNAAUAAUGAUAAUAAUAAUAUAAUAAAGUCGUGGUAUUCGUCCACUCACUACGUGCCAUGUGGCACAGUUCAAACCUGACCCAGCUUGAUCGAGUUGGGUCCAGAGCUAGGAAAUGUUCAGCAGCAAAUUCUAAACGCAAUCAGAGGAGAGAAUAAAAAGAAAAACAAGCGCACGACAACCCCCCUCGCUUCGCACUGUACCAGUUGAACUCUUUCUCUCCGUGUGGACUCGAAAGGAUACAGCUUUUAGUGCCUACAAAACAAGAUGUAUAAAUAUUAAUCUUAUUAUAUUUAUUUGGUAUAUAUAUAUAUAUAUAUAUAUAUACUAGAAUUUGGUAGUUAAGAUGUGUGUUCGUAUUUCUAGUACGUAGCCAUAUCUGAUCUUUAGAUUAUUUUUUUCAAAAUAAGAUAAAUAUUAUUGUUGGUAAAAUAUAUUAUCCAAAUUGUGAAUGCCUAGAAUUCCAAAAAUUGAAUUCGUUACUUUUAACCGCACAGAAAAUUUUUUAUAAUGAAUAAGUUACUAUAAAUUUGAAUUAGUUAUUGCAGCUAUAAGUUUGGGUACUGUUGAGACUUGCUAUUUAAGUAGAAAAUACCAGAGAGCAAGUUAAGAAGGGAAUAGAAGAAAAUAAUUGAAGACUCAAACUAACCCCAAAGAUUGAGAUUGAAAUGUGGAGGAGGAUAAGUGGCUGAUAAGGAACAACGUACGAAAUGCAAUGCUGUAUUGGUGGGAUGCAGAAAAUAAUAUCUCCGCCUUUUGGGACGUGCAUGCAUUCCUCGCUGUCUUCUCUCUCGCCAGCUAACAGUUAGCAAGGUAUCCACUUCCAAUGAAUUGUACAUUGGGGUUUUGCUAGUUGUUGCCAUAUGGUUUGUCCACAUUGGCGGGUUAUAAUUAAACCCGAUCCACAUAAGAUGUGGAUCAUGAUUUAUCCUAAUAAGUUUAGGAUAAGUAUAAAUUAUAUGUUUCUUAUCAGUUAAGAAACAUAUCUUAUAAUGGAUAUUUGUUAUAUGUUAAUAAAUAUCCCAAUCCUAAUCCUAAUGAGAUUCAGGAUAUUUAGGAGUUCCGUUAUUCUAUAUAUACGCCCCCGUUUUCUCCCGUAGGAAAAAAAAAAGGGGAAAAAGAAUACGAUCUAAUUCAAGAAUCCACAAAAUCUUCCUUCUUCUCUCUUCUUCCUCUUUGGGAUUUCCACCUACGUUCCCGGGGUUUUAGAGCGUGGACAUAGGAGAAGAGGACUCUGGUAGCCCUCUCCGAUUGGCAUCCGUGACGUAAGGCGAUCCGUUCCGUGACGUUAGGCGUACGUGUGGAAGAAGACGAGAAACGUGGGAGAUCCAGAAGCAUCGAGACAAGGACGAUCCAAGAAGGCUUGUAAAACGAGCAACCCGAUCCGAUUCCGGUUCCCGGAUACGUUGGCUAUCCGGUUUGUAAGUUUCCGCUGCCUAUUAUUUCCAACAACUGGUAUCAGAGCGUGAAUGCUUGUUUUCGCCUUAUAUGAUCAUGCUUGUGAUGCGUGUGUUUUAGAUCGCAUGUUUUUCGUUGAUCAAUCCUUGAUGUAGAUCCGUUCUGCAAUUUUUUGGUUUCUUUGUGAAAUCGGAAAAAGAAAAAGAAAAGUUAAAUUAGUUUUAAUUUUUUUUAAUCAUCAUAGGACAUGUGAAUAUUUUUUUUUACUGCGAGCGGGCUUGACGCGAUCUGCUGCGAGCGGCGGCGCGCGACCCCACACAUCGCGCGGGCUCGGCCCGCUGCGGACGCAGGCGCGCACCGCGCGCAUCGCGCGGGCUCGGCCUGCUGCGGGCGCGGCGCCCGCCCCGCGCAUCGCGCGGGCUCGGCCCGCUGCGGGUGUAGGCGCCCGCCCGCGCAUCCGCGCAGGCCCGGCCCGCUGCGGGUGCAGGGCGCGCCCGCCCGCUCCGCGCGGCCUGGCCCGCUGCGGGAGCGGGGCGCAACCGCGCGCACGGCGCGGGCGCCCGUUGGGGCGCGGCACUGCGCCCGCCGGGCACUGCCCGACCCACAGCCGCGCAUCGCGUACUGCGCGAAGCGCAGCCCCGGCCUUCGCGGGCCACUGCGGUAAGGCACCUCGUGGACCCGGCGACACCGUGCGGUACCAGCGUCUGGCGGCUGGGCAGCGAGCUUGCAAGCUGUGUCCCCAGCCCGCAUCUGCGCUGCAGGAGAGCUUGCGGCCCGGCCCUGGCUUCGCUAGGCAGUUCCCUUUUUUUAAAAAAAUUUUUUCCCUGCGGAAGAAAGAAAAAUGUGGUUUUUUGAUACAGUAGUAAAUUUUUUAUGCCAUUUUAACAUGUGAGAGUGUUAUGUGUUGUUUAUCCUAUGUGGAUGUUUUUUUAAUGUUUAUGUAGCAUGUGAUUGUGUAUCUUUUGGCAUAUAAGUACUUAUGUGAUUUCGAUAUUUUUUUAAAAAAAUUUAAUUUUGGAAAAACGGGUUCGAUGUGUACAGCAUUCCUGUAGAUCAUUCCUUUUUUCUGAUGUACAUCUUGUAGUGAUGUAGUAGGUUUUAAUUAUGCAAAAGUGAUGUAAUAAUUAAAGCCUUGUAAAGGAAUGUGUUUUGCGCAGCAUCGACGUUUUUCAAAUUAAAUUUUGGCAUAAGUACUUAUUUUUCUGUGUGAUGAUAUUAUGUGAUUAAUCCUUCAUGUAUAAUUUUUUUAAAAGAUGUGUUCUUUCAAAAUGGAUAAGUUCCAAAUUUUUUGGAUAAGUUUCAAAAUUAGUAGAAAAAUUAAUGAGUUUGUAAUAUUUGAACCGGCACCUGGGUGAUGAUUACGAGCAUAGCGAAGUUUUCGAUCUCGUUGUGUCGGGGAUAAUGUUUCAAUCUUGUUAAUUUUUUUUUGAAAUAUGUGCCUAAUGUCCAAACCUAUUUUGAAUGUAGUGAAAUGACUUCCAAAAACAUCAUAACUGAUCUUACCAGGGGUGAUAAGCUAGAUGGAAAGAAUUAUGAUAUUUGGCACAGGAAAAUGCAAUACCUGCUUAAUGAACAAGGGGUUCUUGAAACUCUAUCUGUCAAAAGAGUCUUGCCUGCCCAAGGCACAGCUUCUGAGCAUGAAAAGGAGAUCUAUAACAAAUGGAUCAAGGAGGAUCGAACUGCUCGGUACACUAUGUUGAGUGCCAUGCAAGACGACCUCAUUGGACAGUUUGAGAUCUUUGAAACUGCCAAGGAUAUGUGGGACAAUUUGAAGAUUACUUUUGGUCAAACUUCAUCUACGAGGCUACGUGCCUUGAAUCUCAAGUUUUUACAGUAUAUUAAAGACCCGAAGCAUUCAAUGGCUGAGCACCUUCGUGUGAUGAGCGCCAUGAUUCGGGACCUUAAGACUGCUGGAAACGAGCUCACUGAUGAGCAACAAGUUCUAGCGGUGAUUCGUUCACUGCUUGAUCCUGAAUGGUCCCAGAUGAAGCUCUUGAUGACGCACAGCGAGAACAUUAAAACGUUUAAUGACAUCUCGCGCCAUCUUGAGCUCGAGGCAGAGCGCUUGGAAGUGAACCGUUCUGUCGCUCUUGUUGCACGCUCCGAGAAGCGCAGUGGGAUUGUACCCAAGCGCAAAAAAGCGUCACAACAAUGGAGCGCAAAAGAAAUGGAAUCAAGCUCCUCAGGGUGGAGUUGGAAAGCGCCACAGAGGCAAACGCGCUGGCAAUAAGGAUGCUACAAAGCUAAAAUAUUACAAUUGCAAGAAGAAGGGUCAUUUCGCCCGGGAUUGUCCUGAGCCGAAAAAGGUAACCCGACCACUCAACUCACACUAUUUUGUUUGCUCUCAUGCUUUAGUAGCUCAUUCUCUUCCUGAUUGGAUUGUGGAUACAGGAGCAAACAAACACAUAGUUCGUGACCGAGUGGGGUUCGUAGAUUACCAUCGAGUACCGUCUGGCACACAAUCGUCACCCUUGGACAUGUGCACUGAAGACAGAAGUCCUUGGAGUCGGUUCGUACCAAUCAAUUCGUGCUGGCCGCCACUUGACUUCUUUAGGAGUGCUAUAUUGCAUCUGAUAAUCGAUUGUAAUUAUGUUCAGUUUUAGCUUUGUUGACCUAGGAUAUUCAUUCGAUUUUGACAACGAAACCGCCUUGUACACCGGCUUUCAUGGUACUUUAUUUUGGUAUAUGGUAGCAUUAGUUGAUGUUUUAUUAUAUUAGAUUUGAGAUGACUCGUUUUGCAUUUCUACUAUCUCUUCUCUUCUCUAAUCUAUGAUGAAACCGUAAUGCUGCCAAGACUUAGGCCAUUAGUCAAGAACAUGAAUCGAAAUAACUGUCUCGAGAAGGCCUUUUGGGGUCUCUCUCCCAACAGUUGACCUAAUUCCUGUGUGUGUAGCCUUGUCUGGACUGUGAAAGCAUGUCAGAAAGCCUUUGUUGGGGAAGGCAUCAUCGUGCUCUCAAUCCUUUAGAACUAAUCCAUCUCUGACAUUUGUGGGCCAAUGUAAGUGAGGGCCCGGCAUGGUGCGCUGUCUAUUUUCUCACAUUCAUUGAUGAUAUUCCUGUUAUGGAUAGAGUCUAUUUGUCUUUCUCCCACGCUCUGAAGCUUUAGAUUCGCUUCAUAGCGCUUCGUUGGCGGAGGCUGAGAAAUCAAAAUAGAAAGAAGUGUAAAGGCGCUUCGCAUGACGCAUGGUCGUGAGUAUUGUCUGAUCAAGUUCAAGACUUAUUGUGAGGAAACGGGCUUACGUAGAACUACUAUUCCUGUAUUCCCAAUCAAAUGUGUGGCAGUGAGCGACAGGAACCGUAGCUCUAUUAGACAUGGUAGGUCGAAUGAUGCGCAAGCGCAACUUGCGCUAUUAAAUUUUUGGGGAAGAUUGUGCUUUUGACUGCAUACCUACAUCCUAAUCCGAGUCCGCUAGCAAUCAGUGCCUACUACCACCAUAUGAGUUAUGGAGCGGUAGAACCAAUUACACUACUUACGCCUUGGGGUCAGCUGGAUAUGUAUCACAGCCCCCACAUAAAUUCGGAAAGCUCGCCCUAAAGCGAGCAAGCAUGUUUCAUCAAUACGCCUGAAAAUCAAGGGUUAUGUGAUGUAUGGUGACACCAGGAUGGUUGUUGAGACCGAGAUGAGUCUGCGUGAUGUGGAAUUCCUAGAAAGGGAGUUCCAAGCAUUGGAUGAAAUGCGAAGAGACUGUCGAUUGUAUGAUUACAGGACGACGAUACCCCAAUCUGCUAUUGAGGGUUGAUCGGUCACGUUCCCGAAGUCGGUGAAGGAAGAGUAAGCGAUUCUCCGAUUAGUGGGAUCUUCCGUGAAGUGAGAGCAUACCGAAGUCGGAAGUUCGGACCGUCCAUUGCGUAGAAUGAACGUGGAACAUUUCCCCGUCCGACAUUUUGAGAUCGAGGGGAAUAUUUUCAUGGUAUACUCCGCUCGAGUGACGAAUGGAACCUUUUUCGUUAUAAAGAGAGCAUCCUGGCAGACGUCAGCUUGCAGUGAGUGGAUGGCUGCUAUUAAGAUGGAUGGAUUCCAAUGACAAGAAACCAAGUAUGAGAAUUUGUUGACCUUUUCCGCUUGGGCCUGAAUCUAGUCUUGGAAUAAAUGGUUUAAAAAUUAAGCGGCAAAAUGCGGAUGGAUCAAAUCGAUAAAUCAAAGCUCGCUCGUGCUAGAGCUACAGCUCAGAGGCAAGAGGUAGAUACACAACGAUGACCGUUUGCUCCGUUGUGGAGAAUUUGCACAUCCAUUCGUUUGAUUCUAUGCUUGUUGGCACAACCUUGAUCUGGAAUUCUCACAAAUGGAUGUCAAAAAACAGCUUUAUCUCAACGGAGAUUAGUAGAGAGAUCUAAUAAUCACUGAGGGUUUGUGAUACUCAAAGGUAAUGAAACAAAGUUGUCGUCUUAAAAAGAUCCGAUUUAUGGUCUCAAGUAGUCGUCGAACAUGGUAUUUCAGGUUUCAUUGAAGCCAUCACUCUAUCCGUGAUGGCAUGAUAGAGGAGACACUGCGUGAUGACAUCAAGAAAACAGAGAAUAGGAUUCUUGUUUCUCUCUUAUAUGUCCGACGAACAAUAUUAUUGGCUGGAAAUGACAUGGAGUUACAAUACCCUAAGGAUGGUUUCUCUCAACUUUGAAAUGAAAGACAUGGGUGAGGCGAGCUAUGUGCUCGGAGUAAAGGUCAUCCGUGAUCGCUCUAGAAGGCUUCUUGGUUUGUCUCAAGAAUCUUAUAUUAAAAAGGUUCUAGAGCGUUUUAGGAUGCAUCAUUGUAAACCCGUUGAUACUCCAGUGGAGAAGAAUCAAACUCUGAGUCUUGAUCAGUGCCCUAAAACGAAUAAAGAAAAGGAACAAAUGAGUAGGGUUUCUUAUGCGAGUGUAAUUGGCAGUUUGAUGUACGCUAUGAUGUGUACUCGGCCUGACAUUUGCUUCGCUGUUAGCUUGGUAAGUCGUUACCAGAGCAACCCAGGACCUAUUCAUUGGCAAGCGGUCAAGAGAAUCCUUCGAUAUUUAAAAGGAGCCAGUGAUCUCGUUCUCUGUUUUCAAGGUGGGGACUUGAGAUUGAAAGGAUAUAGUGAUGCUGAUUGGGGCGGUGAUAGAGAUGAGCGCAGGUCCACCUCAGGCUAUGUGUUUAUGCUUGGAGGUAGGGCAAUUUCCUGGUGCAGUAAGAUGCAGAGCUGCAUUGCCUUGUCAACCAUGGAAGCAGAAUACAUUGCUUGUUCAGCGGCCGUACAGGAGGCAGUUUGGCUGAGGAGAUUUCUCCAGCACCUCGACAUCGUGACUCGAGCAAAUGAACCUGUUGAGAUGGUCUCUGACAGUAUGGCUGCCCUGGCAUAUGUGAAGGAUCCCAAAUAUCAUGGCAGAACCAAGCAUAUUGAUAUCUGAUUUCACUACGUUCGAGACAUGAUUAAGCUAGGCGAGGUCGUUCUUAAACAUAUUUCCACCACUAGGAUGGUGGCUGAUCCGUUGACCAAGCCGAUAGCUAGGGAUGUGUUCCAGACCCACGUUAGGAGUUUGGGUCUUCGUAGGUUUUGAUUUAUGGACAUUAUUUUGUAUUUUACGCUUUAUUAAUGAAAAUGUGUUUUUCUUCUAAUGUGGUUGCGUAAUUAAUACUAGUAGGCACAUAUUCGUUAAGUCACCGGGCUCAGAUCAGCCCACUCACACGGGUGAUCGCCCUGGCGCCUAGGUGGUGAGCAGGAUGAGACUAAAUAAUCAUAUUGAACUUGAGUAGUUGUAAUAUGAUUGCUUUGUUCAUAUACGUUAUGAAUAAAGUGUUAACGUAAUUUAAAAGUCGCGUUAAUUAGUUUAAGAUGAGACUCUCAAGAGUCAGAUAUGAUUUUUUGUGAAAUUUCAUAUCGAGCCUGUAUAGUAGCCGAACCUAAGUGCUCAGGUUAGAGAGAUGACUUGAGUUGUGGCGGUUAGAUACCUUAGUGGUGCCUAGACCAAGGUUCGUAUGGCGUUCUUUCAGAACGUGACAUGUCCCAUUGAGUGGGAGCUCUGCCAUAGCAUACAUAACAUACUGUAUGUGCUUGUCGACCAGUUAGUAGAGUGACAUAAGCUCUUCCCUCCAUGUCACUGUGUGAGCACUAAUCCUUUUGUGCCCUCGACUUAGAACUACGUUAUGAAGUGGAGGUCAAAAGUAACUAACUUAGCGUGUAUCUCAAGGUCAUGAGAAAAUACGAUCUCGCGGAGCACGUCUAGUAAAAUGCUUGGACCAAUAUGGAUUAACGUGAGGGGCUGAGGAAGAUGUUUCGAUAACACACCACGUAAGUCUUGUGACUCAUUGCCCGGGAGGUUAUCUCGGUUUUGUUACUAGAGAUAAUCAUGAGUACGAGAAAUAACGGUGGGGUCGAGCCCUGUCAUUACAGGAGAGGGACUUUGUGAUGCUUGAUCUGGUGUGUGUUGGAACGUCUAGGGCAUAGACGAAUUAAGUCAGUGAUGUGCUAUGUUAGUUGGGUGGUGACUUAAUAUAGCACUCCUGCAUGUGUUUUUUUUCGUCAGGUCGCACGCUCUAUUACCCGUAUGAAGAGACGAAUGAGUGAGAGAGAGAGUUGGCCAAUGUGGCCAAGUGGGAGAUUGUUGCCAUAUGGUUUGUCCACAUUGGCGGGUUAUGAUUAAACCCGAUCCACAUAAGAUGUGGAUCAUGAUUUAUCCUAAUAAGUUUAGGAUAAGUAUAAAUUAUAUGUUUCUUAUUAGUUAAGAAACAUAUCUUAUAAUGGAUAUUUAUUAUAUGUUAAUAAAUAUCCCAAUCCUAAUCCUAAUAAGAUUCAGGAUAUUUAGGGGUUCCGUUAUUCUAUAUAUACGCCCCCGUUUUCUCCCGUAGGAAAAAAAAAAAGGGGAAAAAGAAUACGAUCGAAUUCGAGAAUCCACAAAAUCUUCCUUCUUCUCUCUUCUUCCUCUCUGGGAUUUCCACCUACGUUCCUGGGGUUUUAGAGCGUGGACAUAGGAGAGGACUCUGGUAGCCCUCUCCGAUUGGCAUCCGUGACGUAAGGCGAUCCGUUCCGUGACGUUAGGCGUACGUGUGGAAGAAGACGAGAAACGUGGGAGAUCCAGAAGCAUCGAGACAAGGACGAUCCAAGAAGGCUUGUAAAACGAGCAACCCGAUCCGAUUCUGGUUCCCGGAUACGUUGGCUAUCCGGUUUGUAAGUUUUCGCUGCCUAUUAUUUCCAACAACAUUAAUGUCCUCCUAACUAAAAUGAAACAGUAGUGAUCACGCACAAAGUCAGUAUGUGAGAUGUUGAGGUUUCUUGGAAUAUAUAUAGGAUGUAUAGAACUGGUCCGUCUUAUUUACUGCACCAAAUCAACUCGAAAUUAUCGCACCAAAUCAACACGAGUAAAAAAAAACCCUUCUUCUUUACAUUUUUCUUUUUUUGAAGAGUAAGAUAGCUUCGUUCGCUUAUUUUUAGAAAUAAUUAAAUUUAGCUAGAAAUGUAAAAUAGUUAGAGUUCGAAGAACUUGGACCUUUGAUACAUAUCAUCAAGUUUUUAGCCGACUAUGCUAGAUACGUUAAGUGCUCUAAAAUAAUUUUAACAAAUAGGAAUCUAAAUUUUCCACUGCAAGGCCCACAAGCCUUUUUCUUUUUCUUCCACCUUCAUCAAUAUGGUGAUUUAAUUUCCACAACCACGCAAACGAAAAUAUCAUAUAAUAUUCGUAGGUUGGUCCCACCAGAGAUAAUUUUUUCAUGUGAGAAACAAAUGGCCUAUAGCCAUCAAAUCGGUUUCAUAGGGAAAUACUACGUUACCCACCAAAUUGAUCACUCUAAUACGCCAUUACACACCAAAACAAUAUAAUUUAAAAAAACAAAAAACUCAAGAAUAUAUAGCCUAAACAAAUAUGAAUGUACGUUUUCUAUGUGAAGACCUACAAUUUUAGGAUUUUUCUCUUCCAUCUAAAUAAAUUUGGUGUGUUCUGCGGCCGUGCUAUGACACUCCAAGAUUUGAUAUAGUUAUAUAUAUAAGGCAUAUGAAAAGACUAAACUUUGACUAGCUCCAAAAUGUUAAGAGAAUUAAGCGUGCUAGGAUUAGAAGAGUUCUAGAAUGGAUGAUCCUUCAAGAAAACGAGGGAUCACAAUUGGUAUCAGAUCUAAUCACUAGCCAGAAGUGUGAGAUGAGCCUCAAUUGAGCUAGGGUUAUACAGUGGGCACAGUGUGGAUCCCCAGUUGACGACCGUUGUGGAAGGCGCGAUGCUCGCCACAAGGUUGACUACGCCUAUCGAGACGAGUCUCAUAUAUCCUGAUGCUUUUGAGUGUGCUUGAGGUCGACAAAAACAUCAAGGCUUAACUCGAGUAGAACGAGACACUCCAAUAUUUGAAAUAGUUUUAUAUAUAUAGUAUUAAACCUCUUAGUCCGACUAUAAUAUUUUGGAUGGUGGCAAGGCCUAACAGAUUAAGAGGGUUAAGCGUGCUAAAAAUAUAGUAAUUCUAGGAUGGAUGACCCCUUUGGCAAACAUGGCGUCAUACCUACAAAAACAAAAGGCAAUAUACACGAUUAAUUCAAAACAGAACUCGAAAUUGGGAAAAAAAAAUCAAAAUAGACUGGAAUUAGAAAUAGAAUAGUGGAAUCUCCUCGUAUGUUAGUUUAGUAUAGCAUAGCAAUCAAAAUUGAAAUGGCAUUCACAUUUUUUAUUGUUUGGUUGGGAGAGGAAAUUUGGUUACCAAUACAGUAGUUUAAUUAAAUAAAGUUCAUAUUCAAAAUUUUGAACUUGAAAUUAACUUAGAACUUAUUUUUCUGUUCAAAAUACAAAUUAAAUUUACGAUUUGGAUUUAAAUUGAAACUUGAAAAUUAAAGUUUAAAUGAAACAAAUAUCUACGACAUCAAUAUGGUAAAAUAUGAUUAAGCAAUAGAAAGCAUCAUAUAAUCUAUACAAAUCUAUACAAAUAUAUAAUUUGUGGGUUUGUGGGCGCCACGUGGCAUUUUCUCACUUGCUCUCGCCACGACUUCUGCCUCUUGGGCCCACCUCUUCCUUUCUCUUUCUUUCUUUCUUUCACUGAUCUCAUUUUCGUUCCUAUCCAAACAGUUAACAACUCUCUCUCUCUCUCUCUCUCUCUCUCUCUAAUAAUUAUCCAUCAUUUUCAGUUUCUCUCUAGGUUUCAUUGUUUAGGGUCUAGAGUAGGAAAGUUGAAGCAGCAACAGAAGUAGCACAAGGUUUGAUGGUCUAGGGAUUAGGUACUAGAAGAGGCAGAAACAGAAACAGAAGCAGCAGCAGCAAGAAGAGCGGAAGGAGAAGCAGCUUUGUCUCUAGGGUUGUAGGGGUUUGGUUUUUAGGGUUUUAAGGUAAAAGAGUUAGGGUUUAUUUCUUUGUGUGAUUACUUGAACAAUCUAAGAGUAUCUGAUUAUGAAAGAAAAUAACAAAUCUUGCAUAUUAUGAUUAUGUUAUUGCCUGUUUGUCAUUGAAAUAGAAGCUACAUUGAAUUUGCAAUAUAAUUUGAUUAAAAUAAAAUUCUAUUAACUUGAACAAAACAAGUUGAUUGUGACAUUUUCAUUGCUUGUUACCAUAAUUUGAAUAUUGAUAAACAAAAUAGAAGUAAAAUUUUGAAAGAGAAUAUGUCCAUCUCCUUUAUAGUUCCUAAUUCUCUUUCCUCUUCUCUUCUCUCAAAUAGAGGGUUGGUCCAGAUUUUCAGUUUCUCCCUCACUUUUAGUUCUAUCUAUUAAGGUUUAGGUUUCUAGCCUUGGCUCAGUUCCAAAACAAAUUUGAACAUUGAGAAAACAUAACACAAACAUAAUUUGCAAAGAGAUUUUGUGGAUAUUGUAGCUAAUUAAUUCUUUUCCCUCUCCUCCUCCCAAAUGGAGGUCAUAGAUUGGUUUACGAUUUAUAUAUUCUCAACUCCCUUCUCUAAUGCUGCAACUUGGUUAUGUGGUUUAGGGUUUACGGACUAGAGUAGGAAAGCCGAAGUUGCAACAGAAGUAGCACAAGGUUUUUUGAUCCAAGGAUUGAUCACUUGAAAAUAUAUUACCCAUACCGACCGUCUCGAGCGAAAGUGACAAGGAGCUUGGUGGUUAGCACCCGAGGUUCCAAGUUCGAAACAUAAUUGCUUCACAUUUCUAGCUAAGUUUGUUUUUUAGAAAAAUGAAGGAACUGGAUAGCAUGCUACUACAUUUUCUUAGAAAGGCCCAAAAUCUUAUGUUUGCAUCUAGAUUAGUCUACAUUAUGAUGCUCAUUUGAGAGGAGCAUAUUAAUUAAGUUGGCAAUUUCAUAGAAUAGAAAAAUUCUCUGUAAUAAUUCAAAGUAAACCAGGCAAGUAGAUUUUUUUUGGAAAAGUCUAAAGGCUUUUAGGAUACGUUUGGUUUAUGUUAGUAAAAAUCUAGUAAAUAAUACAAUGCUCGAAUAAUAAAACUCUUGUAAUCCAGAGAAAUUUUUAUAGUACAAACGAAACGCGCACAAAAGUCCACACAACUGAAACAUCACCAUAAAUACAGAUCUACUUCAUGAUGUUUAUUUAGUAGGUCCAUAUUAUUAGGGGCUUUCUUUACAAAUGGCCCCCUGAAAAAGCUUUAUUUUAAAACUAGCCCCAAUAAACUUAUAAUUGCAAAAAUGACCCUACUCCUGCCACGCAAGCGCCCCGUGGGCGGGCUAAGAGCCUGGUUGGCAAGUUGAACACGGUAAAUCGUAUUCAAACACGGUGAAUGAUUCACCAUGUUUCAUAUUUAUAUUCCUUUUCUUCUCUUUUAGAGACGUCAACGGGUCAGGUUUGGAUCGGGUUUUUAAAAAUCCGAACCCGAAUCCGAAAACUAAAUUAAAACCCGAACCCAAAUCUGAACCCGACGGAUUUUAAAAAUCCAUACACGGUGAAUGAUUCACCAUGUCAACUUGCCAAACCAACCCUCCAGCCCGCCCACGUGGCGCUUGCAUGGCGCCUGCGUGGCAGGAGUAGGGCCAUUUUUGCAAUUAUAAAUUUAUGGGAGCUAAUUUUAAAAUAAAAUUUUUUCAAAGGGCCAUUUGCAAAUAAAUCCCUAUUAUUAGUGAAACAAACUCUUGCAGUAGUAAAAUUCCUCAUAAUCAUUCAAAGUAAACCAACCAAUUAGAUGCCUUUGGAAAACUCAAAAAAUCAUUUACAAGUCCAAGCACCAGGGCCAUCGCUAUAUAUUCUCCAGUUUUGAUGAUCAAUUCAUAGCCUUCCAACUUAAUUAGUUGCCAUUUGUUUAAACAAAAAGAAAAAAAAAAAAAGUGAGACAAUAUAUAUGGCUCCAAUUUCUUUGCUGCUUUUGACCAUAGCAAUCCAAGCAUUUUCGGCAAGCGGGUGCUUCGAGACCGAGAGAAAUGCACUGCUAGCUUUCAAAGCAGAUCUAAUCGAUCCUCGCAACCAAUUAGCCUCGUGGAAAAGCCAAAACUGCUGUACAUGGAAGGGAGUCGUUUGCAGCAAUACAACUGGUCACAUUUUGAAGCUCAACCUGCGAAACUCCUACGACAAUAUUAAUUACUUUCCAAAUAGUAAAAGACCGUCAGCUUUGGGUGGUAAGAUUAGCCCAUCUUUGCUUCUCUUAAAUCAUUUGGAGCACUUAGACCUCAGUUUGAACAACUUCAGCGAGAUUCGCAUCCCGGAGUUCUUUGGUUCUUUAAAAAAUUUGAGAUAUCUUAACCUCUCUGGAGCUUGUUUCAGUGCAAUGGUACCCCCUCAACUUGGAAAUCUCUCAAAACUUCAUUAUCUCGACCUCAAUUCUUUACAUUGUGAUACCAAUAUCAGAGUUGAUAACUUCUUGUGGCUUGCCCAUAUGUCUUCUUUGCAUUAUCUUGAUAUAAGUUCUGUUAACAUGAGUUUUGCUACAGAUUGGUUACAAGCAAUAAACAUGCUACCAUCAUUGAAAUAUCUUGAUAUGAGCACGACUAGUCUUCUCACAAUUCCCAUUUCUCUACCAUUUAUCAAUAUUACGACUCUCAGGGUCCUUAAAAUUGCAGGCAAUAGCAUCAACUCUACCUUACCUAGAUGGCUAUGGAAUCUUACUAGCAUCACUCAUCUUGACCUUUCUUCCAAUGAGUUUCAUGGCUUUAUUCCUGAUGAAUUGAGUUGCCUGAAGUCCUUAAAUGUUCUUUCUUUAGGAUCUAAUAAUUUCAAAGGCAUGUCACCAAAAGCAUUUAGUAAUCUUUGUAGCUUGAAUACUUUGGAUUUGCGUAGAGUUGGUUUUAGUGGAGAAAUAAAUAAAUGGGUAGAGAGACUGCCGAGCUGUGUGCAACAAAAUUUACAGAAGUUGUAUUUUGAGGAUAACAAGUUAAGCGGUAAUUUGUCAAGUUGGCUAGAGCGCAUGAACAGUCUAACUGAAAUAGACCUUUCUGAAAACUCGCUAAACAGGACAAUCCCGAUUGGGGUUUGGAGGCUUCCUAACUUAACUAGAUUAUAUCUCCAAAGUAAUUUCUUCGAGGGCACUAUAACAGAAGUGCAACUUUCUCACUUACAGAGGCUAAAAUGGUUAGACCUUGCAUAUAACUCCUUUAACAUGCAAAUUAGUCAUGAUUGGAUUCCCCCUUUUCAGCUAAAAGCACUUCAUUUGGCUUCUUGCAAUCUGGGACCUAAAUUUCCUACUUGGCUUCAAGGACAGACACAACUGGAAGAACUAGGCUUAUCAAAUAAUGGAAUUAAUGAGAUGCUUCCCAAUUGGCUUUGGAAUAUUUCCAGCUCCUUAGCUUAUGUCCAUAUUUCUAAUAACCAAAUCAAAGGAAAAUUACCAUUGUCACUGGACCAUGGCACGCUACGACAUUUAAAUUUGAGCUCAAACCAACUUGAAGGCCCAGUGCCAGCUCUCCCGCAAACUCUUUCUAUCUUGGAUUUGUCCAACAACUUUUUUACAGGACCGAUACCGAACUCUACGUUAUUAAGUUUACGAUAUUUGCUUCUUUCUAAUAAUAGUUUCAGUGGCUGUAUACCAUUCUCUUUGUGUGAACCAACUUCGUUAGCAGUUCUAGAUAUAUCAAACAACAAGCUAUCAGGAGAAAUUCCUUCGUGUCUAGGGAUGUUGCAAGAUCAACUUCUUGUUCUUGAUAUGAUGAGCAAUAAUUUAUCCGGAAAAGUUCCUACCUCUCUCGGCGAAAAAGGGGCUCUUUCGAUAUUGGAUUUAAGCAAUAAUAGCUUGUCAGGAGAAAUUCCUUCUUCUUUGCAAUAUUGUACACAGUUGGUUAAUCUUAACCUUGGAUACAAUAAUUUUUCUGGAACAAUACCUAAGUGGAUUGGAGAAAGCUUACUAGUUCUUGUGGUGCUCAGCUUGCACUCAAAUGGGUUUUCAGGUAGCAUCCCGUCAGAAAUCGCACAACUCGGAUAUCUACGAGUCUUAGAUCUUUCUCGCAACAACUUAUCUGGAUCUAUACCUCGAUCUAUUGGAAAAUUAAGUUGGAAAAAAGGAGUUCCUACAGAUCACACACUAUUUUCCAAAUAUGGAAGCUUCGAAGUCUCGGCCGGUACUGUAUAUUUAGUUGUAAAAGGAGCGGCACGAGAAUAUUCGAAACUUCUUUAUCUUUCCGAAAGCAUAGGCAUUGACCUUUCUUGUAAUCAUCUAAAUGGAGAGAUCCCUGAUGAGAUAGGAGAUUUACAGGCACUGCACAAUCUAAACUUAUCCAUGAAUCAGUUGACAGGACAUAUUCCAGAUCAAAUCGGCAAGAUGCAUGCAUUGGAGUCUCUUGAUGUAGCAAUGAACAUGCUUUCUGGGACUAUUCCACAAAGUCUUGCAGCACUGAACUCUUUAAGCCACUUAAAUGUGUCAUACAAUAAUCUUUCAGGAAAAAUUCCGUCAGGAUAUCAACUGCAAACCCUCGACGAUCCAUCUAUAUACAUCGGCAAUCCAUAUCUUUGUGGACCACCAACUACGCAGAGUUGCUUUACUAAUGAGACAAUUCAUGUUUUUAGCAAUGGGCACCAAGGCCGGUUCGAAAGAUUAUGGCUAUACGUUGGUGUGGUGUUAGGAUUUAUAAUGGGAUUUUGGAUUUUCUGUGGUGUUCUUUUGUUAAGUAGAUCGUUGAGAAAUGCUUAUUUCUCUGCGAUCGAUGGCACGUAUGAUAGGCUUUAUGUUGCUGUUGCAUUAACACUCAUCAGAUUAAGAAGAAGAUGGCGGGGAAAUGUAGUCUGAGUAGUUUUAUUUUAUGUUAAUAAUUUUCGAAGUCUAUUAGCAUGCUAUGAUGAAAUGAUUGCUGGUUUUUUCUGAAUCACUGGAUCUGUGUUUAUUUUUGAUGUGUAAAUUGCAACACUAGUCCCGGAACCUUUUUUCAUGUUCCAUUUUGCUGCUAAAAUUUUUAUGCUUGCUAAUUUAAAAACUAGACUAUUAAAAGUGCUCAAUGUGGUCCGGGCCGUGCCGAACGAGGCCGAAUUUUUUGACCCUUGGCCCAGCACGGCCCCUGGGCCGGAUGGAACGGGCCGUGCUAGGCCGGGUCUUCCUGGACCCGUGCUGGCCUAGUUUUUUUUUUUCUAGGUUUUAAAAUUUUUAUCUUUAAAAUUUACAAAAAAAAAAAAGAAUAUUCUUUUUUUUUUAUAAAACAGUUAGAAGGCGGCUCUAAUGGUUAAAAAAAUUAAAAAUUAUAAUUUUUCCUUAAAAAAUUAAAACUUAAAAAAUAUAUAUAACAAAAUUAAAAAAUUUAAAAUUAUUUGAAUAAAAGUUUAAAAAAAUAAUAAAUUUUUAAAAAUUAUUCGAAAAGAACUUUAAAAAAUUAAGUAUAAAUAUUUUUUGAAUAAAUUUUUAAAAAAUUAACAAAAUAUUUGGACAAUUUUAAAGUUAAAACUAUCUCUUUUAAAUUUUUUUUUUAGAAAAAAGGACUCACCUCGGAAGAGACGAGUCCUUGGGGUCGGGCCAUGCUGGCCCGGCAUGGGCCUUUUCGUGCUGUGUCGUGCAGUGCCGAGCCAUGGGCCAGGCCAUCAACCCGGUACUGUCUAGGCCCGUUUCGGAUAGUGCCGUUCUGAGCCGACUGGCCUCAAUUUGUAGGCUUUCAGGCCGGACUGAGCCGAGACGGGUUAUACAAUUCGUGCACAUGUCUAUAAAUCCUUACCGACGGUGCGAUCUACCUUUGUUUCCAUAUCACUCUAUUUUUUCUUCUUUUAUUAUAUCUUCUAAACUUUAUUAGAUAGUUCAACAAAUCUCUCUCCCAAAGUGAACUAACUAAUUACGCUAACAUUUUGAUCGAAUGUCAUUUAUAUAAUUCUGUAAGACUUUAAAAUAUAAAGGAAUCUAUUUUUUCUCUUCCAGUUUUAGUAAUUAAGUUUUUACGUAUUGAAGAAAUGGUGGAAUCAAAUUUCAGUUUUUGCGCCCCCCUUAGUUUUAUGUUACAAUACAAUAAGUAGAUUUUUGUGUUUUGAAGCUUUAUAGAACUACAUGCAAAACACACGAUAAAAAUGACUAUGUAUUCAAUAACUUUUAUUAAAGAGAGUAUCGAGCUAUUUGAUAAAGUUUGAGAUGUCUAUUUAUCAAAAUUGAAAGUUCAGGCCCUUGUUUACAAGAAAUCUAAAGGUCAGGGGGUAUUUGUACGUUUGUUUCUUUUUUAGUUGAUUGCUAUUAAAUCUACAACCCUAUCAAGAUUGUAAUUUUACAACUUAACCUAUCUAAUGCCUAUAAUUAGCACAUUAGUCUUUUCUUUUUUCCCCCUAAAAAUCGAAAAGGGUUAUUUAAUUGAAUUGAGCUCCUAUACUUUUAAAAGCACUAAAUCGUUGGUGCUUAUGGGUUUUCGGCCUAUGGAUGAAGAUUUAUAAGGUUAGAAUAAUAAUGAUUCCUUAUUAGAGUUCAGUGGGUGGAAUAUUAUGAUAUAAGGGUGGAAUUAGUCAAAGAAUAAAUCUAACGGCGAAAAAAUUAUAAGCACCAAGUACUUGAUGCAUCUAAAAGCACCAUAGUCAAACUCUAUUUAAUUUCUACAAAUUAUAAGCACCAACUGCUUGGUGCAUUUAAAAGCACUAUAGCUAAACUCUAUUUAUUUUCUAUCCAAGUUAAUAGACAUUCUAAGGACUUGUUGAAAAGAAAAAAACAAGAGGCACCCGACUGUUCAAUAUUAGUCUAAAAUGGUUCAAUUUAUAUUUUAUGUGGUGCAAAUUAUUCUUAAAUAAUUUUAAAUGGUAUACCUUAACCUAGCUCAAAGAGUGCAAUUUAGUAUCUAACAAUCUUGUGGCACUCUCGUCACCAUUGCCGUCCACGGCCACGACCUCCGCCGCAGCCUCACCAUCAUGAAUUCACGAUCUGCUGUGAACCGUUUUUUUGCUAAAACGUAAAAUCGAUAAAUUUUUUAUGCAAAAAGGGCCUAAUAUAUCUAUUAAAUUUAUUAAUUCUUUAAUUUAUAUAAAAUUUUUAAUUAUUUGUAUUUUUUCAUAAUUUUUUUCACACAUGGCUUUACAAAUUAAUUUGAUUACUAAUAAAUUUUUACAAAAAUUUAUGCACACAUUAACCAAUUUAAAUUAUUUUCAUUUAGAUAAAUUUAAUUAUUAAAUUAUUUUUAUUUAAAUUAAUUUAAUCAAUAUUCAAACUAAUAAAUAAUAUAAAGAUAUUAAAAUUUUAAUUAAAAUUUAUUAUUAACAUAUUUUAUACCUGCAGCAUCGCAUGAGUCACCAGUAGAUAUAUAUAAGUAUACUUUACUAUAUAUAAUAUACUAUAUAUAUACCCUACUACGCGCACUCGCGUACUCACCUAUACUAUAAAUCAAAUGCAGCCUAUUGGAAGCUAUCGUAACUCAUAAGUUGUUUAUAAAUUAUGAGCAGCUUCCGAAUACGAAAGAUCCACUCCGAACCUUAACCCAUAAUAACGAUCUAUGCCAAGCUAAUUUGAAAUAAUCACCUAUAAAAUACCAUUCCCCGCUAACUUAAUCCGAAAACACUCCACCACUAUAAAGAUCAACUCAAACAAAACACCACAGUAGCCGCACUAAAACAACCAAUGACACAGGCAUCAAAAUCGCAACGACAUCCUUAACAAGCGCCACUCGAUCCUGGAUCCACUUUCCAAAUUCCAAAGAUCGCGAACAGAUAUUGAAUCAAUCCUCUAUCAAUAUGGCCUAUACAUGAACUAGAAUUCAUCAUCUCUAAAUCAAAAAGGAUUCAACAAAUUACAAACAAUAUAUCAUUCAAAUAACACACAGCUAAAAUAAAAUAAAUCAAGAACCUAACAUCCCAUAUGAAGACAACCAAGCUCUAAAAUUCUGCUCUCACAACCAUAUCUCUCACCCUCUAAGCACUCGCUUAAAUAAAAUGACUGUAGCAAAAUAUUAUAAUCUCUCGAUACUCUAGAAGCUACUUUCAACAUGCCCCAUGCUACAACACUACACGCAACACCUCUUAAACGAGUACACGCAUCGCAAUCAUCGUCCGCAAACUCUAACAGCACAACCAUCUUAAUCAACUCGAAAACAAACCCUUAUAGAGUACCGAGGGGCCGAAUCGUACCUCAUAACUACGUUCCAGCUAGUCGGACCUAUAUCCUAUUAGUAUAGCUAUAUACUAUACUAUAUAUAUAUAUAUAUGAUAUAUUAUAUUAUAUGAUAUAUAUUGAUCUGCAGAGUUUUACUGUGGCCGACGUGCCGUGCUUCUCCGCACAUCGCGAGGAAGAGAGGUAGACGAGAAAAGGUGGAUGGGAGGUGGAACGUGAGAAAGAGAGAUGGCGCCCUUCGCAGGAGUUGUGUAUCCUCAGGGGUCGACCAUCCUUUACAGUCCCCGCUCCUUUCAAACGCCGCUUCGCUGCGCUCUGGCGCCCCUUGUUCUAAACAGCGCUUCCAGUGGUGUUCCUGUCACUUCCUCACCGUGCCUAAUGGGUCUCCGUACAUUCCCCUAACCCGGCUUUUAGCAUGGUCGAUGGGGAGGGAGACGCAGGGAGCAGAGCAUGAGGAAGAAGCAGAUUGGCUGAGAGCACGAGAGAGCAGACGCGCCCUCCCGCGCGUUUUGGGGCGGGGGGGGUCCCGGUGGGGGAUCCACACAGGUGAGAGAGCGGAGCAGAAAGAGAGCAGACGAGAGUAGAUGACGAGAGAGAGAGUAGGACAGAGAGAGGGGAGCCUCCCUCGGGCUCGGCGCGGGGGGGUGCGGGUCCUCCCGCAUCUUGCCCCCGCCCCCGCCCCCUCUCUCCCCGUAUCUCUCCCCCUGGUUCUCUCAUCACUCUCUCUCCCCUCUCUCUCUCGUCCCCAUGUGCGCUUGCGACCGCGCCCGGAGUGGGCGCGGUGGGGGUGGGGGGUGUCCGGCUGCGCCCCCCCGCGCGCUGUCUUCCCGCCUCCUCUCUUUACUUCCUCCUCCAGCGCUCUCUCCUCUCUUCUCUCUCCCCUUCUUCUUUUCCCCCUUUCCUCCGCCCCGUGGCUCUCUGCUCUUUUUCUCUCUCUUCUUCUCUCCCCCUCUCCCACGUACGGCGACGGCAGCAGGAGGCGGUAAUUUCAGCAGCUUUCGCGGCCGCAGCGAGCAGGCGGGCUGGGCGCGGCGUGGCGGCAGCGGGCGGGUCCUUAGCGCGAGGCGCAGGCGGGGCGAAGCGAGCGGCAGACGGGCGACGAGGCGCCGGCCGGCGCAGGCAGGGCUCUCGGGCGCACUGCAUCGGGGCGGGCCUGCGGGCGCGCAGGAGCGAGCCGGGGGAGGCGUGGAGAGAGGCUCGAGAGAGGGGAAGAGAAAGAGCAUCUACACGGGAGAGGAGAGAAAGAGAGGGAGAGGCAGAGAGAGAAAGAGAGACGAGGCGAGUUAUGGCGAGAAGAGAAGGUAGAGCAGGCUCAGAAGCGAGAAGAGAAUUUUACAAUUUUAUAAUUUUUAAAAUUUAAAUUUUAUAUAAAUUUUAAAUUUUAAUUGUUAAUUUUUAAUUUUAUGAUGAAUAUUAUAUAAUUAUAUAUAUUAUAUUAUAUAAUAAUAUAUAUAUUGAAUCGAGAGUUUUACUGUACCUGACGUGCCGCUUCUCCGCACCGCGAGGAAAGAGUGAGAGAAAAGGAGAGAAAGAGAGAGAAGGGGGGGCCUGCGUGCACGGCUACCCGCGCGCCCGCAGCACACAAUGGGGGGGAAGGGAGAGGAGAGAGAGAGCAGUAGGGAGAGAGAGAGAGGCAUGACGGCGCCCUCCCGCGUUUGGGGGCGAGGUCGGUGGGUCCACCGGUGAGGAUAUUGAGAGAGACAAGAGAUAGAGAGAGAGAAGAGAGAGAGAGUAGACAGAGAGAGGGAGCUCUGCCUCGGCGCGCGAGCGGGGUGCGGCCUCCGCAAAAUCCCCCGCCCCCCCCCCCUCCUCCCCGUCUCAUCCCCCGUUCUCUCUCACUCUCUCUCCCCCCACCUCUCUAUCUCUUCCCCAUGUCAGCGCGACCCGCGGCCGGCGGGCUGGCGGGCCGCCCGGGGGGGUGCCCGCCUGCGCCCCCGCCCGCGCGCUCUUCCCCGCUCCUCCUCUUUACCUCUCCCUCCUCCCCACGGCUCUCUCACCUCUCCUCUCUCCCCUCUUCUUUCCCCCUCUUUUCCUCCCCGCCGCUUUCUCUCUCUUUUCUUUUCUCUUUCUCUCCUCCUUCUGCCUCCCCCUCUCCCCACAGCGGGCGGGCAGCAGGAGGCGAGGCGCAGGCGCAGCGCGGGCGGCGCAGCGAGGCAGCGGCGGGCGCGGUGGUCGCAAGGGGGGCGCGGGGGGGGGGGGGGGUGGCGGGGGCGGCGCGAGGCGCCAGGCGGAGCGCAAGGAGCGCAACGCGACGGAGGCGCGCCCGGCCGGACUAAGCGGCGGCGCCGCACGCGGGGCGGGCAGCGCAGCCGACGCAGGCGAGCACACGGGGGAGGAGAGAGGGCAGAGGGGAAUGAGAAAGAAGCAUCUACACGGGAGAGAGAAGAAGGAGAGGAGAGAGAGAAAGAGAGAGAGAGGGAGUUAGGCGGAGAAAGAGAAAGAGAGAGGAGAGAGAGGAAGAAUUUUUAGCAUUUUAAAUUUAAAAAUUUAAAUUUUAUAUAAAUUUUUAAAUUUAAAUUUUAAUUUAACAUUUUAUAUAUAUAUAUAUUAUAAUAUAAAUAUAUAUAUAUAUAAAAUUUUAUUUAUAAAUAUAUAUUUAUUUGUUAUAUAUAAUUUUAUAUUGAAUUUUUUAAAAGUUUAAACUUUUAAAUUAGAUUUAAAAAUUAAAAAAUUAAAAAAUUUGUUCAAAAUAUUUUAAAAAUUGCGUAAAUUUUCCGCCGCGAAGCGCGGGCCUUCACUAGUUAUACAUGAAAGCUGAAGCCAUGCACGUACACCCGGCCAAUCACUCUUUUGUUUGAACAUCCCGACACCCUAGCUUCUAAACUAUUUCUAAAUUGUAAGACAUGGCAGAUCAUACAAAAACGAUCCUUCACAAAAUAAAAAUGAGUACAAAAUAUUACCUGAUUUCUCGUAAAUUUUAUUAAAUAGUUCAAAUUAAUAAUACUUUUUCGCAAUUAAUUGCUAAAAAAAUGCUGAAUUUUGCUACUAUGGGUGAAAGAAUUGUGUAAUAAAAAAAUUGAGGCAAAACUUGUUAAUUAUUAUUAUUAUAUUAAUAUCCUCGUAACUGAAAUGAAAUGAGAGUGACUUAUCAGGCACAAAGUCAAUAUGUGAGGUGUUGAGGUGGAAGGAAAAAUCUGUAGUAAAAGAAAUACUACGUUACUAGUAAAGGAAAUACUACGUUACCCACCAAAUUGAUCACUCUAAUACGGCAUUACCCACCAAAUCGAUAUAAUAGAAGGAAACUUAGGAAUAAUCUAAACAAAUAUAAAUUAAUGUAUAUUUUCUAUGAGAAGACUUGCAAUUUUAGGAAUUUUUCUCUUCCAUCUAAAUCAAUUUGGUGAGUUCUACGACUUUGCUAUGACAGUACCCCAGAAUCUAGAAUAGUUUUAUAUAUAAGGUAUAAUAGUACUAAAUCUCUUAAUCUAAUUAUAAUAUUUUGUGUGGUGGAUGGGUCUAAAAGGUUAAGAGGAUUAAGCGUGUUAGGACUAUAGUAGUUCUAAGAUAGGUGACCCCUCUAAAAAGUAUGGCGUCAUAAUUGAUAUCAGUGCUGAUCACUAGCCAGAAGUGUGAGAUGAGUCCCAGCUGAGCUAGGGUCAUACAGCGAGCAGAGCGAGGCUCCCCAUUGAUGAUCGUUGUGGAUGGAACGCUACUCGGGUUGACGAUCGUUGAGGAUGGAGCGUUGCUCACCACAAGGUUGACUAAGUCUAGCGAGACGAGUCUAACAUCGCCCGAUACUUAUGAAUGUGUUUGAGUUUAACAAGGACAUCAGAGCUUGAAGGGGAGAGAAUGGGACACUCCAUGAUUUGAAACAGUUCUAAGGUGUAAUAGUACAAAACUUUGUAAUUCGGCUAUAGCAUUUGGAUAGUGGAUAGGCCUAAGGGGUUAAGAGGGUUAAGUAUACUAGAACUAGAGUAGUGCUAGGAUGGAUGACCCCUCUGGGAAGCAUGGUGUCACGUGUACAAAAAACAAAAUCUAUGUAUAUGAUUAAUUCAAAAUAGAACUCAAAAUUGGAAAAAAAAAUCAGAAUAGACUAUAAUUGGAAAUAGAAUAGUGCAAUCUCCUCCUAUGUUAGUUUCGUUGGGAAUCUUGUAUUCGCACUGGUACCAAAUUUUGAGAAUCCGCAAUCCAUUUUAAUACCGACUGCUGUUAAUCCGAUAUCGGUUGAUGGGAUUCUACAACAGAAGCGUCAAAUCGGAUUUUUAUCAUAACCCAUCUCCUCAACAAAAGCUGACACAAGUACAAAAGAAUAUGUGGGCGAAAUAAUAAGAUUCAUUAAAUAAGAGAAGAUUACACCUGACAACUCUUUUGCAAUAGAGUAGCUACAAUAUGAGCCCUCUUUCUGAAUCUCUCCCAUUAUUCUCUCGUCUUUUAUAAAUCUAAAAGACUUUUCUCGUUGGACACACCCAUGCACUAGAUGCAUGCAACCAUAGCCAACUCUCUCUCUCUCUGGUACGACACCACUAGGGGUGGAAACGAGCCGAGCUCAAGCGAGCUUACCUCAGCUCAAGCUUGGCUUGAAAUUAAUUCGAGCUGAACUCGAGCGAGCCUAACUUCGAGUCGAGCGAGCUUGAGCCCUAAACGAGCUACUUGAAUUUCUUAACAUCGUGCAAUCUAUAGUUUAAUUUUUAUAAAACAUUAUCUAAAUUAAAUUUGAUAUAAAAAAAAUCUAAUAGUUUAACAUACAAAACGAAUGCAUGAAAUACGAUAUUAUAAUACUAAAAAAAUUAGGAAAGACGACUCUGCGAGGAAGUGAGAAAGAGAGAAAGAGAGCAAUUAGAGUAAGAUUUUGCUGGUUUGGUUUUGUGGGCCCAAUAAUCUAAAUUCUAUAAACAUAUAAUUAAAAUACAUAAUAUAUAUUAUUUUAUAUAAUUAAAAUAUAUAUUAUAUAUAAUUAUAUAUAGAGAGAGUUUGGCAGUUUGGCUACUAUAUAUACUUUUAUGAAUACAAAUCCCUUUAUACUCAUAAGUUUUCGAUCGUUAAAUAUAUCAUUUUGACUAUUUCUAUCCGUUAAAUCAUAUUAUUUAACGAACCACCUACUCAAUCUUAGGGGAGCACUAUCAUUCUAAUCGCACAUCCAACGGCUGAAAAUUUAUAAAUAUAAAGGGGUCUAUACUUUUAAGAGUGUAGUAGCCCGAACCUAUAUAUAUAGAAUUAGGCUACUAUACUAUUAAUAAUACAAACCGCUUGCUAUUAGAUUUUCAGCCCUUGGAUGAAGGGAUGUGCGGUCAGGAUGAUAGUAGUCCUCUAAGAUUGAGUGGGUGGCUAGUUGAAUAGUAUGAUCUAACGGAUGAAAAUGGCCAAAGGGAUAGAUCUAACAGCAGAAAACUCGAUAGCACCAAAUACUUGAUACUAUCGAUAGUAUAAUACCCGGACUCUAUAUAUAUAUAGGCAGAUCUAACGGUAGAAAACUUAAUAGUACAAAGCGCUUAGUACCAUGGAUAGUAUAGAUAGUAUAGUAGCCGGACUAUAUGUAUAUAUAGAGAGAGAGUUUGGCUACCAUAUUAUUGAUAGAACCAAAUGUUUAGUGCUAUCGAAUUUUGUGCCGUUAAAUCAUAUUAUUCAACUAACUACCCACUCAACUCUAGGGGAUCACUAUCAUUCUAACCGCACAUCUCUUCAUCCAAAGGCUGAAAACCUAAUAGCAAGUGGUUGAUACUAUUAAUAGUAUAGUAGACUAUAUAUAUAGGGUUAUUUGCAUAUACGUCCCUGCAAAUAUAAUAAAUUACAGAAAUAUCCCUGCAAAACGAAAACUCCAUAAAUUAUUCCUGCAAAAGUCUAAAGUUAUGCAGAUAUGUCCCUGCCGUUAAGAACUGUAAGAAAAUUUUCGUUAACCACGGUUAAAAUACUUAACCAUUGUUAAUUAUAACGUGAAUUUACGGUUCUAUCCUUCUUCUUCUUCCUCCACUUCUUCUUCCCUCUUCUUUGUCGCCGGCGAGGGCGGCGGCGGCCACGACGGCGGCAACGGCGCACCCUCUCUCUUUCUUUUCCUCUUUCCUCUCCCUCUUCCCUUUUCUCUCUUCUUCUUUCUCUCCUUCUUCCUCUUUCCUCUUUUUCAUUGCCGACGAGGGAUAUUUCUGUAAUUCACUAUGUUUGUAGGGACGUGUAUGCAAAUAACCCAUAUAUAUAUAUAUAUAUAUAUAUAUAUAUAUAUAUAUAUAUAUAUAUAUAUUUCGAGCUUUUCGAGCUUAAUUCGAGCGAGCCAAGUAAUACUCAAGCUUAGCUUGGAAUUAAUUUCGAGCCUAAAUUUAGGCUCAAGCUUGCUUGAAAUUAAUUCGAGUCGAGCUCGAGCGAGCCAAAUAUCGAGCCAAACACGAGUCAAACACGAGCUGGCUCGCUCAUUUGCCAGCCCUAGACACCACCCAAGAAGCUUUCUCUCUCUCUCUCUGCCGUAUUCCCUUCCAAAAGCAACCCACAUGGUGCUUAUAUAAUGCUUACAAUAGAACGUACUCCAUUCCUACCAUAAUUAGGAUUCCUACUCCAAAUAACAUUUAAAUAUAUAUAUUUAGUUUAUCUCCAAUAGAUUUAAAUAUUUUAUCUUAAUCUAGUAGAUUUAUAUUCUAAUUAAUAUUUAAAUCUUAAUUUAUCUCCAAUAGAAUUAAAUAUUAAUUCUUAUCCAACUAGAAAAUCAACUACAAAUUUAACCAAAUCCUAACGAGUUUAGUGUAGCAUAGCAAUCAAAAUUGAAAUAGCAUUCAUAUUUUUCACUGUUUGGUUAGGAGAGGAAAUUAAUGUUGGUAACAGUAAAGUAAUUUAAAUAAAAUUCGUAUUCAAAUUUUUAAACUUGAAACUAAUUUAGAACUUAUUUUGUUGUUCAAAAUACAAAUUAAAUUUAUUAUUUGAAUUUAAAUUUACACUUGAGAAUUAAAGUUUAAAUGAAACAAAUAUCUAAUGCAUCAAUAUGGUAAAAUAUGACUAAGCAAUAGAAAGAAUCAUAUAAAAGAUAAAGAAUUGAUCACUUGAAAAUAUAUUAUCCAUACCGACCGUCCCUAGCGAAAGUGACAAAGGGUUUGGUGGUGGAUACCUGAGGUCCCAAGUUCGAAACAUAAUUACUUCACAUUUCCAAUGAAAUUUAUUCCUAAAAGAAAUAAACAAAUCGGAUAGCAUGCUACUACAUUUUCUUAGAAACACUACAACAAAAAUGGUCUAUAGCGACACUUUUAAAUGUAGGUAAUGUCAAAAAAGUGCUGCUAGCUAAAAUUACCAACACUUUUAAAAAGUGUUGCUAUAUGUGGGGUCGCUAGGUAUAUAGUGACAGUUAAAGAGUGUCGCUAUAACCUAAAAGAGUGCUGCUAAUUUACCAACACUUAUUUAAGCAUUUAGCGACUGCCGAAACUCUAUCUCGUUGGCUGCGGUGGCGGAGGAGGACGACAUGAAAGGCUCUUCGUCUAGAAUUUCAGUGGAUUGAGUGAAGAGAGAAGAAAAGAUGGCAAUUAAUUUUUCUUUGUUUGUUCUUUUCUGUUUGUAAUCGGGCCAAAUGGUCUGGGUGUGGUGGGUUGAGUAGAGUAAUCUUUUAUUUUUGGUUGGAUUGGGCUUUAUAUUUAGGCAUUAGCAGAUAUUUUUUUAAGUUUUAGCAUAAAUGGGACACUUACUCAAAAGUGUCCCAAACAUGUGUCCCUAUAACCUAAUUCUGUUGUAGUGGAAAGCCCAAAAUCUUAUGUUUGCAUCUAGGUUACUCUACAUUAUGAUGCUCAUUUGAGAGGACCAUAUUAAUUAAGUUGGCAAUUUCAUAGAAUAGAAAAAUUCUCUGCAAUAAUUCAAAGUAAACCAGACAAGUAGAUGUCUUUGGAAAAGUCUAAAGGCUUUUAGGAUACGUUUGGUUCACGUUGGUAAAAAUCCAGUAAAUAAUAUAGUGCUUAGAUAAUACAACUCUAGAAAUCCUCGGAAACUUUUAUAACGCAAACCAAACACAUCCAAAAGUCCACACAUAUGGAACAUCACCAUCAAUACAGAUCUAAUGAUGCUUACUUAGUAGGUCCAUAUUAGUUAAGGUAACAAAUUCUUGCAAAUAGUAAAAGUCUCCAUUUUUAUUCAAAGUAAACCAACCAAUUAGAUAGAUACUUUUGGAAGAGUCUAAAAGCAUUUGUAAGUCCAAGCACCAGGGCCAUCACUACAUAUUCUCCAGUUUUGAUGAUCAAUUCAUAGCCUUCCAACUUAGUUAUUUGCUAUUUGUUUAAACAGAAAGAGAAAAAAAAGUGAGACAAUAUAUAUGGCUCCAAUUUCUUUGCUGCUUUUGACAAUAGCAAUCCAAGCAUUGUCGGCAAGCGGUUGCUACGAGACAGAGAGAAAUGCACUGCUAGCUUUCAAAGCAGAUCUAAUCGAUCCUCGCAACCGCUUAGCCUCAUGGAAAAGCCAAAACUGUUGUACAUGGAAGGGAGUCGUUUGCAGCAAUACAACCGGUCACAUUUUGAAGCUCAACCUGCGAAACUCCUAUGACAAUAAUGAUUUCCUUUAUUAUGGUAAAAGACCGUCAGCUUUGGGUGGUAAGAUUAGUCCAUCUUUGCUUCUCUUAAAUCAUUUGGGGCACUUAGAUCUCAGUUUGAACAAUUUCAGCGAGAUUCGCAUCCCGGAGUUCUUUGGUUCUUUAAAAAAUUUGAGAUAUCUUAACCUCUCCGAAGCAUGUUUCAGUGCAAUGGUGCCUCCUCAACUUGGAAAUCUCUCAAAACUUCAUUACCUCGACCUCAAUUCUUUCGAUUGUGAUACCAAUAUCAGAGUUGACAACUUCUUGUGGCUUGCUCAUAUGUCUUCUUUGCAUUAUCUUGAUAUAAGUUCUGUUAACAUGAGUUUUGCUACAAAUUGGUUACAAUCAAUAAACAUGCUACCAUCAUUGAAAUAUCUUGAUUUGAGCACGACUAGUCUUCUCACAAUUCCCACUUCUCUACCAUUUAUCAAUAUUACGACUCUCAGGGUCCUUAAAAUUUCAAGCAGUAGAAUCAACUCUACCUUACCUAGAUGGCUAUGGAAUCUUACUAGCAUCACUCAUCUUGACCUUUCUUUCAAUGAGUUUCAUGGCAUUAUUCCUGAUGAAUUGAGUUGCCUGAAGUCAUUAAAUGUUCUUUUUUUAGGAUCUAAUAAUUUCAAAGGCAUGUCACCAAAAGCAUUUAGUAACCUUUGUGGCUUGAAUACUUUGGACUUGGGUGGAGUUGGUUUUAGUGGAGAAAUAAAUAAAUGGGUCGAGAGACUGCCAAACUGCAUGCAAAAAAAUUUACAAAUCUUGUAUUUUCCGUAUAACAACUUAAGGGGUAAUUUGUUAGGUUGGCUAGAGUACAUGACCAGCCUAACUGAAAUAGACCUCACUGCAAAUUUGCUAAAUGGGACCAUCCCACUUGGGGUUUGGAGGCUUACUAACUUAACUAGAUUAUAUCUCCAAAGUAAUUCCUUCGAGGGCACUAUAACAGAAGUCCAACUUUCUCACUUGCAGAGGCUAAAAUGGUUAGACCUUGCAUAUAACUCCUUUAACAUGCAAAUUAGUCAUAAUUGGAUUCCUCCUUUUCAGCUAAAAACACUUCACUUGGCUUCUUGCAAUCUGGGACCUAAAUUUCCUACUUGGCUUCAAGGACAGACACAACUAGAAGAACUUGGCUUAUCAAAAAAUGGAAUUGUUGAUACCCUUCCCAAUUGGCUUUGGAAUAUGUCCAGGUCCUUAACUUAUGUACAUAUUUCCAAUAAUCAAAUCAAGGGAAAAUUACCAUUGACACUGGAUCAUGUCAUGCUACUAUAUUUAAAUUUGAGCUCAAGCCAACUUGAAGGCCCAUUGCCAGCUCUCCCGCAAAUUCUUUCUGUCUUGGAUUUGUCCAACAAUUUUUUUGUGGGACCGAUACUGAACGCUACGUUAUUAAGGUUACAAUAUUUGCUUCUUUCUAAUAAUAGUUUCGACGGCAACCUACCAUUCGCUUUAUGUGAAUCAACUUCAUUGCAAGUUCUCGAUAUAUCGAACAACAAGCUAUCAGGAGAAAUUCCUUCGUGUCUAGGGGUGUCGCAAGAUCAACUACUUGUUCUUGAUAUGAUGAACAAUACUUUAUCUGGAAAAAUUCCUACCUCCCUCGGCGAACUACGGGCUCUUUCAAUACUGGAUUUAAGCAAUAAUCGCUUGUCAGGGAAAAUUCCUUCUUCUUUGCAAUAUUGUCGACAGUUAGUUAAUCUUAACCUUGGAUAUAAUAAUUUUUCUAGAACAAUACCUAAAUGGAUAGGAGAAAGCUUACGAGUUCUCAUGGUGCUCUUUUUGCGCUCAAAUGGGUUUUCAGGUAGCAUCCCAUCGCAAAUCACACAACUUGGAUAUCUACGAGUCUUAGAUCUUUCUCACAACAACUUAUCUGGAUGUAUACCCCAAUCUAUUGGAGAAUUAAGUUGGAAAAAAGGAGUUCCUACAGAUCACAUGCUAUUUUUUCAAUAUGGAAGCUUUGAUGUCUCAGCUGGCACUGCAUAUUUAGUUGUAAAAGGAGCGGCACGGGAAUAUUCGAAACUUCUUUAUCUUGUCGAAAGCAUUGACCUUUCCUGUAAUAAUCUCUAUGGAGAGAUCCCUAAUGAGAUUGGAGAUUUACAGGCACUGCAAUAUCUAAACUUAUCCAUGAAUCAUUUGACAGGACAUAUUCCGGAUCAAAUCGGCAUGAUGCAUGCAUUGGAGUCGCUUGAUGUAGCAAUGAACAAGCUUUCUGGGACUAUUCCACAAAGUCUUGCUACGUUGAAUUUUUUGAGCAGUUUAAAUGUGUCGUACAAUAAUCUAUCAGGAAAAAUCCCGUCAGGAUAUCAACUGCAGACUCUCGACGAUCCAUCUAUAUACAUCGGUAAUCCAUAUCUUUGUGGGCCACCAACUAUGCAAAAUUGCUCCACUAAUGAAACAACUAUUAUUUUCGGAAAAAAGUCGCAUGACCGGUUUGAAAGAUUAGGGCUAUACAUUAGCGUGGUGUUAGGAUUUGUAAUAGGAUUUUGGAUUUUUUUUGGCACUCUUUUGUUAAGUAGAUCAUUUAGAAAUACUUAUUUCUCUGCGAUCGACCGUACGUACGAUAGGCUUUAUGUUGCUGUUGCAUUAACACUCAUUAGAUUGAGAAGGAGAUGUGGGGAAAUGUAAUUUGAGUAGCAUUAUUUUAUGAUGCUCUAAAACUGAAUGGUAUGUUAAUAAUUUACUAAUUAAGUCUAUUAGCAUGCUAUCAUGAUAUGACAGCUGGGUUUUUGAAUCACUGGAGCUGUGUUUAAUUCGAGUGAGUAAAUUGCAAUAGCAGUCCCUGAACUUUUGGCACGUUCCAUUUUGCUCCUAAAAGUUAUAUGCUCAGCAAUAAAACCCUUAACUUUUUAUAGUGUUCAAUUUACUUUAAAUCCAAAUUUAUUAUCAGAGACAAAAAUUAUUGCUGCUAAGAUGAGGACAGAAGUGAAAUUUUUUUAAAAAAUUCAGUGUUCAAACAUUGAAUUUAAAAACUUUACCUACCGUUUGGUUCGGGGUUAAGGAAAAACUAGUUAUUCCAGGAAUAGAAUUAAGUUCAAGAUUAAGGUGGGGUUAGAGUAUUUUUGUAUUUGGUUGGGGGUUGGAGUUAGUUCAGUAUAGUGAAAAUAAUGUUUGGUUGGAAUAGGUGGGAUAAGAAAGAUAGUGGGUUAUUAUGAAUAGAAAAUAGUUUUUGGUUGGGGUUUGGUGGGGUUAGGUGGGUUUAGCUAACUCGGGAUAGCCCAUUUGAGGUGGGGUUAGCUAACCCCACCCAUUUUUGGAAGUGUUUGGGGAUAAUAUGCCCGCAACCAAAAUAAGGGGCUAAGGAUUAAAAUAAACUUUUUGGAAAGUUGAGGGACUCAAAUUUUACUUCGUUUAUUUGGUUCCGGUUAAUUACAUCGUUGGACUCCAACUUUUAUCUAAUUAUUUUAAUGUCCUUAGUACUUUUUAUAUUAUUUAGCAGUAGAGAUAAGGCAAAAUACAAUCUAACCAAGUUGACUAAUCCGGUCAAAUUAUCGAAUCCAAUAGAUUAUUUCGUCCGCAUUAAAAUUCGGGUCGGAUCCGGACACGAAAAUUCGGUCAACAAUCCUAUUUGAUACUACUAGCUUAAAUUGUAAAAUUAAAUUAUAUUAGUAUAAAAUAAUAUAAAAUAUCCCGAUGAUUCCAAUAUUUGUUUGGCAUACACAUUUUAAAUAUAUCUCUAAAGUUUUUUAAAACAUUUGGUAUGAAAUCGGGUCUUACCAGUUUUGAAUCUGAACACCUGAUUUUAAACCAGGUCCAGUUUUGGGCACAAUAUGUCAUGCAAAAUUUAGGUCCGGGUCAUAUAUGAAAACAGUAACUCUAAGGGCAUGUUUGGUUCAUGAUUGAAAUAGGAAUGAAAAAUAGAAUUGAAUUGCUUUGGAAUGAAAAAUAGAAUGACGAAUUAUCCAAAAAUGUUUCGUUCAUUAUUGGAAUGGAAAUCGGAAUGAAAAUUUUAAAUUUUUAAGAGAAGGUUUUGAUUAAGAGAGAGGAAAGUGAUGAAGAGAGAGAAGGUAGGUGUUGAUGAAAGAGGAUUUUAAAUAGUUUACUUUGGAGUGAGCCAAUUCGGGAUUCAAAACCGGAUUGGAUCAUAAAUGGAUUUGGCCAUUUCCAUUCCGGAGUGGAAUGGGAAUGGGAAUUCGAUUCCUAUAAAACAAACGGCAACUGUCGGAAUCACUGAAUUCUAUUCCGAUUCCAUAGUCUAAACUAGGUGAACCAAACAUGCUCUAAAGGUUCUCCGACCCGGUUUUGAUUUGGAUCUAGAUUUUUGCCACCCCGCGUAGUCAAUGAGGCUUUAGCUUAGUUUAAAACAUAGUUAGUUAAUUCCGAUUCGGCAAAAAUUCAGUACGGGUAUAAUUCGGAUAAAAUUCGUCUUCUAAUUUUUAAAUUCGUUAAAAAAUACGGCUAAAAAACGGAUUCGUCAAUUAUUCAGAUACGUAAUUUAUACGGAUAUUAUACGAUCAUCAAUUAAAAAUUCGGGAUCAAAAAUUCGGCUAUUAAAUUAAGUUUUUUUUCCCUCAAGAUUUAUGUUAUUAGCAUAAAUACUUAUAUUUCUUAAGAAUAUAAGAAUAAAUAGCUACAAAACUAAAUUAAUUAAGUAAAAAAUUUGAAAAGAGUUUUUUUUUCUGUUUUUGGAGGAGGUUUUUUUUUUUUCUGUUUUGGGCUAGNCGCGAGGCCCGCGAGCCGCGAGCCGCUACUGCGAGCUGCAAGCCGUGAGCGCAUGCAAGCGCUCGAUGCGGGCGGGCCUCGCGGGAGCGCUCGCAGCGCGGGGGCGCACGCGGGCCGCAUUUUUUUGGCUCUGAAUAUUUCGGCCCGCGUAUAAUGCGCGAAUAAGUAUUUUUUAUCAAAAAAUCGCGUUUUUGUUCUGAAUUUUUGGGAAAAAUACAAAUUCGGUCGUUUAAUUCGUUUCUUCAAAAAUUUGCGAAUAAUUCGCGAAUAAUUCGCGAAUUUACUAACAUAUUGGGCGCAAAUUGUUGAAAUCUAAAGGAUAAAAUAAAAAAUACACAAUUAAUUAAUAUAACUAAUACGUUAACCGAUGUCCUUAGCGCAAGUGUCAAAAGGCUUAGUAAUUGAUAUUAGGGAUGCAAUAGGACAGAUAGAGGGGUGGAAGGGUUCCCCCACCUCUCGCUCCAUUUCUUGUCGGGAUGGGUGGUGUAGUGUCCCUGGUGUUUAGUGGCCUAUGUGAUGUCAGCAUCUAAGGCUUGUCGACACGUCUGGAGAGUGUCGGGACAAGUCGGAGUUAUUUUGACGCGAAAUAGACGCAAAACGGACUCAACACGAGACGAGAGCGGAGUUCUGACACUAAAAUCUGCAAAGUGCAGGAUUUUAGUGUUGAGUAUUGGUAACUGAGAGGAGUGCUGGUAUCCUAGUGGGUUACAGAACUGGAGGCUCUCGGGUUUGCGCGUGCUUGAUGCUGAGUAUUGGUACCUGCUUGUCUCUUACCGGUACCGAAUCCGAGUACCGGUACUGCAUCGGGCGAGUACGGGUACCCACCGUGCGAGGUUGCCGGUUGAGUGUCCGAGUAGCGAUAUUCAAGUUGGGUACCGGUACUCCAGCUGUAUUUUUGAGUUGAUGAGGGGCAGUUUGAUCUUUUAAAGUGUCAUUCAUUCCUAUAACCUAGCCUUUAUACAUAUAUUCAGAGAGAGCUCUAGAGAAGGGAAAUCUUCUCCUUUCUCUCUCUCUCUCUUGCUAGUGGGCGCCAGGUGUUGGAGAGGUCACAAGUCGAGCUCAUGCGGACUCGACGUUGCUCCGGAGGACCUUUCAUGCGCGUGGGUGUCGCGGUUACGCCAUUGGAGAUUGGGCGAGCGCGAGGGUCCCCUCCUACCGACUUCUAGCCGACGUUGGACGAGCGCUCGAGGUGGGUUGAUGUUUACCGAAAUCGUCGGAUUUCCUCCUAAGUUGGCAUUUUUGUCAGCAUGUAUGUUUUAUGUAUAAUAUCAUGUCUAGUAACUCGAAUUAAUCGAUUUGCAUGUUUUUUUAUGAAAUCUGAAUUUGGAGUAUAGUUUAGUGAUUUUAGAUGGAAUUAUACAUGUUGAACUGGAAAUUGAGUUAGGAGAAAACACCUUAAACCCUACACUGUCAUUUCUGAAAAGUUACCAGAUUUAGCUUUAGGAGCUGUUAUUAAUUUGUAUCACCGCUGUUUGUGCGAGGUGUAUAUCCAAAUUAGUGUAGGAUGAGUUUACGCUCGAGUUAGGAAGCCGAGCUCGUUUUAUAGUAGUGUGUAGACUUUCGUAUUGUUGUGUGCCGUCGCGGUUGAUAGUGGACCCAGAUAUUUGUAUCUUGCAUCAGAUUGUGCCAAGGGCACGUGAGCUUUGGUUGUUAGACCAGUUAGACCCAUUUGUAUUGACUACAGUUUAUGAGAGCCUGAUUGAGCUCGGCAGAGACACGCUUACAUAUUCGGUUGGGUAGCGCCUGCGAGUGCCGCUCCGGAGUGAGACUUUACGUGCGUUGUCGUCGCAUCAGUCCUGUUUGGACAGUGUUCUUGGACUGGCCACCCCUGUGGGUGGUGUGCGGUGUAGCUUAGGGGCUGUUUGGUUUGACGUAAAACUGCGGAAAAAAAAUUUUCGGUGGAAAAAAAUUUUCGGAGGAAAAUAAAUUUUACGCUCUUAGCGUUUGGUUUGUAGGAAAAAAAAGAGUUUUCCGUUACGGUUGUUUGGUUGAAAGGAAAAGAAAGGAAAAGAAGGAAAAAGUUAGGUAUAAAUAAAAAAUUAUUAUAUAUAUAUGUUUUUAUUUUAAUAUAUAUGAUUAUUAAAUAAAUGAUUACAUAUACUAAUAUAUAAUUUAUAUUGUAAUAAAUAUAAUUUAAAAAUAUUUAUCCAAUAAUUAAUAAUAUCAAAUAAUAUAAUAUAAUAUAUAUAUAUAUAUUUAAUACUAUAAAAUAAAUUUAUAAAUAAUAUUUAUAAAUAAAAUAUUAUAUAUAUAUAUAUAUAUAUGUGUGUGUGUGUGUGUGUGUGUGUGUGUGUGUGUGUGUGUGGAGUCGGUGUGGACCACUCACAUGGUUCACGAGCUCUUACAUGAGCUCAUGGACCUCGAUCCUGAGCCGCUCGUGGACCCCGAUCCUGAGCCGCGAUUUUUCACUGUGAGUUUUCAUUUUCCGCCGCGAUUUGGCGGAAAAUGAAAAGCUUGCUUUUAUGUAGAAUCCGUAAAAUAAUUUUUCCAGCAAAAUUUUUUUACAUCAAACCAAACGCUGGAAAAGUAAUUUUCAAGUCCGAAAAUUUGUUUUUAGGGUAACCAAACACACCCUUAGACAGGCGGGAUGACGAAUUGCAAUCCCUAGUGAGAUUGAGUCAGAGUGCUGCAUUUUAUUUAUAUAGAUAGAUUGUGUUGGUUCGUGAUAGUAUAGUGGCAUGUAGCUGUAGAGUUCUUUCUGGCUUUCUUUACUAUCUUUUGCACAUAUUUCUGUUGACUUAUUGGGUGAGCCGUUGAGGUCAAUUACGGUACCCACUAAGGACUACUCUGUUUUGCAGUAGUUCUCACACCCAAUUAUUGACCCCUUUUUGCAGAGCCUUCGUCUGCGGCUGCUGCUGUCGCUGAUUCAGACCGUGAGAAGGGAGUCGCGAGCUAGAUCCCUACCAGUUUUGUUGCUGUGCUAGAGGAGUACCAUCCAAAGGUAGUUUUGGGGUUUUUGUUGUACAUAUUGUUAUGUUGUCGUUGUACUCGCUGAAGCGAGUUAGGUAGUGGACUUUUGUAUGUACCGGAAACCCUUUAUGUUAUUUAUAUAUUUCUGUUUAGCAGCUCUUUACCAUCUGGUUGUAGCUAUGAUUUAUUUACAGGUACAGCUAUCGCUUCGUAUAUACGAAAAAUUUCUAUGUAUACGGCGGGUCUGUUGGCGUGCCUGGAAAAACGUGGCAAUUCGGGGUGUGACAGAUGUGUUAUUUUUUAUUUUAUUUGUGGCUCCUACUUACCAUCCGUCCCAUUAAGGGCAGAUUAGGGCGGAAGCAAAUUUUUUACGAAUUUUUGACGGAUCGAAAUGGAUUGAAGGGAAAAAAAAAAAAAAAAGGUCUCCCGUUUCCCACUCUAUUUACUUGGCAGAUCAGGGCAGAUUCAGGGCGGGUUAUAUUUUUCUAUAAUUUUUGUUCUCACCUGCCGCCCUAUUCAAAGCGAAUUGGGGCGGGAGCUCUACCAACCGGAUCCAUUUGAAUCCCUAAUUAGUACUAUUUUUGGCUCCCACUUACCGUCCCAUUCGGGGUGGAUCGGGGCGGGAGUAGUAUUAUAUAAUUAUUGUUGGCAACAACUAUAAGUUAGAAUAUGACACAUAUUUUCUAAUAGUAUAUAAUAAAUCACUUUUUUUAAAAAAUAAAAUUUUAUAUUGUAAAUUUUUUAAUAAAUAUGAUGUACAAAUUUAUAUUAAUUCAAAAUAGUUAUUAAAAUAUUUAUUACGUCCAUUUAUACAUGUACUCAACUAGCAUAAUAGUUCUACAGUAUAUACACACACUUGCAUGGUUAAUUAUAGAAAAAAUAUAAUGUUUUACGGUCAAAUAAUUUAAAAUUUAGACUACUAUUUUCAAACAACUGAAAGCUCGAAUGCAUGUAUCCGUAAUAUUCUUUUUUUCUAAUUCUCCACGUCACCAAAUUUUUAUAGCAAAAAAACAAACUAACAGUAUGUUUGUUUCAUGGAAAGUGGAGAGGAAUGAAGUGAUUCUUGACUGUAAAUGCCUACUCCGUUGCUUGAUUCAUUGUAAUAUGAAUUCGGUUAUAAUUCAAACUCUCUAAAAUCCACCAUUGGCAGAAAUCAAAUAUGGGGAAAAAAAAAAAGUGAGAAAAAAUUAAUAAAAUAUUAAUGUGGGGUGACUUGUUUUUCCCUCCCUUAACAUUAUUAUAAUAAUAUGUGGGAAUUAAACAGUUUUUGGUGAAAAAUAUAUAGAAUAUUUAAAAUUUCAGUUUACUCCUUAUUAACUUUCUAUCAAAUAAAUAAUAAAACUAAAGAAACUUUUUAGCCCCACACUAAUAGAAACAAAUAAUAGGAAAGAAAAAAAAUUUCACUUGUGCUCUAGCCCAACUAAAAAUCUAUUUCAAUCUGAAUUCCACUUUGGGCAAAUUAAACAAGCAUGCACUUAAUCAUUGAUUCUUUUAAUAAUGUUAUGCUAACAUAUGUCUCACGAAUUUCUAAAGGAGGAUCCGCUUUCUGAGUAGUAAAAGAAGUGGUCGGUGACUCAUUGCGAAUCUCAUCUGACACUUGAAUCACACAGUUCAUCUAUUUUGCGAACGACAGCGAAUUCAGUAAGACGGCUCUUAUUUUUAUUUAUUUAUUAAAUUUUGUAAAUAAACUGCGAAUCUCAUCUGACACUUGAAUCACACAAUUCAUCUAUUUUGCGAACGACUGCGAAUUCAGUAAGACGACUCUCAUUUUUAUUCAUUUAUUAAAUUUUGUAAAU